rnacentral:lncRNA from 1 species
UUCACAUGACUAUUAUCAGCAUGACUUAUCCCAUGUCCUCACGAACAAAAGUAACUACUCACAAAACAUAAUCAUAAUCAGAGGUGUAAUAAAUAACAUCAAGGAUCUAAACAUAAACUCUUCCACCAAGUAAUCCAACUAGCAUCAACUAUAAAGAGUAAUCAACACUACUAACAACCUUACAAGUACCAAUCGAAGUUGCGAGACGAAGAUUGUUUACAAGAGAUGAACUAGGGAUUGGAGAGGAGAUGGUGCUGAUGAACAUGUUGAUGAAGAUGCCUCCCCUCCAACGAGAGGAGUGUUGGUGACGACGAUGGCGACGAUUUCCCCCUCCGGAAGGGAAGUUUCCCCGACAGGAUCGUCCUGCCGGAGCUCUAGAUUGGAUCUGCUCAAGUUCCGCCUCGUGGCGACGGCGAAACCACGAAAAAGCUCCCGAUUGAUUUUUUUUUCUAGACCAAAACCCUUCAUAUAGCAAAAGGGGGGAGCUAGUGGGCCGUCAGGCAGCCCACAAGCUUGCCCUGCGCCACCAGGGGGAGUGGUGGCGGAGUGGGGGCUUGUGGAGCCCUGGUGGCCCCCCUCCGGUAGUUCUUUCGCCCAGUAUUUUUUAUAUAAUUCAGAAAAAAUCCACGUAACUUUUCAGGGCAUUUGGAGAUGUGCAGAAUAGUGGACUAGGAUUUGCUCCUUUUCCAGUCCAGAAUUCCAACUGCCUGAAUUCUCCCUCUUCAAAUAAACCUUACAAAAUAAGAGAGAAAGGCAUAAAUAUGGUACCACAAGUAAUAUAACAGCCCAAAAAGCAAUAAAUAUCAACAUGAAAGCAUGAUGCAAAAUGGACGUAUCANNNNNNNNNNNNNNNNNNNNNNNNNNNNNNNNNNNNNNNNNNNNNNNNNNNNNNNNNNNNNNNNNNNNNNNNNNNNNNNNNNNNNNNNNNNNNNNNNNNNACACUACUUUUGGGAUGAUCCUCACCUUUAUAAGGAAGGAGUAGAUGGUGUUAUUAGACGUUGUGUGCCUGAACAUGAACAGGGACAGAUCCUGCAGAAGUGUCAUUCCGAAGCCUACGGAGGACACCACGCUGGAGAUAGAACUGCCCAUAAGGUAUUGCAAUCAGGUUUCUAUUGGCCCACUCUCUUCAAGGAUGCCCGUAAGUUUGUCUUGUCUUGUGAGGAAUGCCAAAGGAUAGGGAACAUCAGUAAGCGUCAGGAAAUGCUGAUGAACUAUUCACUUGUCACUGAACCAUUUGAUGUCUGGGGCUUUGAUUAUAUGGGACCCUUCCCGAGUUCCAAUGGGUACACUCACAUCUUAGUUGCUGUGGAUUAUGUUACUAAGUGGGUAGAAGCUAUCCCCACUAAAAAUGCUGAUCACCACACCUCUAUUAAGAUGCUUAAAGAAGUCAUAUUCCCAAGAUUUGGAGUCCCUAGAUACUUGAUGACUGAUGGCAGUUCACACUUCAUUCAUGCUGUUUUCCUUAAGAUGCUAGCUAAGUAUGAUGUCAACCAUAGAGUUGCAUCUCCUUAUCAUCCUCGGUCUAGUGGUCAAGUGGAGUUGAGUAAUAGGGAGAUCAAGUUGAUCCUACAAAAGACCGUCAAUAGAUCUCGAAAGAACUGGUCUAGCAAACUUGACGAUGCACUAUGGGCUUAUAGAACUGCUUAUAAGAAUCCCAUGGGCAUGCCACCGUAUAAAAUGGUUUACGGUAAGGCCUGUCAUCUACCUCUUGAGCUGGAACACAAAGCUUAUUGGGCAAUCAAAGAGCUNNNNNNNNNNNNNNNNNNNNNNNNNNNNNNNNNNNNNNNNNNNNNNNNNNNNNNNNNNNNNNNNNNNNNNNNNNNNNNNNNNNNNNNNNNNNNNNNNNNNGAUAUAGCCACCCUAUUUACUCAUGAGGAAAAAAUCGUUACUAUUAUAUUCUUAAGCUUUUUCCGUUCUCAUUAAAGGGUGAUGCUAAGAUAUGGUUUAAUUCUCUUGCUCCUGGUUGUGUGCGUAGUCCGUAGGAUAUGAUUUACUACUUCUCUGAAAAACACUUUCCUGCCCAUAAGAAACAAGUUGCCUUGCAGGAAACAUUUAACUUUGUGCAAGUUGAAGAAGAGAGUCUCCCACAAGCUUGGGGGACGCUUCUCCAGUUACUUAAUGUUUGCGUGAUCACCCUCUCAAGAAAAAUGAAAUACUGGAUAUCUUUUCUAAUGGACUAACCGAUGCUUCUAGGGACCACCUAGAGAGUUGUGUCGGUUGUGUUUUCAGGGAACGAACUGUUGAACAAGCUGAACUACUAUUGAAUAAUAUAUUGAGCAAUGAUAAUGAUCGGGCUAUUACUGAACCACCUCCAAAAGCAACUCCGAAGAGAAGAGGUAUUCUAUUCCUCGGUCCUGAAGAUAUGCAAGAGGCAAAGAAAUCUAUGAAACAAAAAGGUAUUAGAGCUAAAGAUGUUAAUAAUCUACCACCUAUUGAAUAAAUGCAUGGUCUUGAUAACCCGACACAGGUAGUAGAGGUCAAUUCUCUUCAUACAUUUGAUGAAGGUGAUAUUCCUUAUAAUAAGUCUGCUAGCCAAUGCUUGGAUGAAUUUGAUAAUUUUGUUGUUAAACAAGAAAAUUUCAAUGCUUAUGUUAGUAAACAACUGAAACAUAAUGCUUACAUGUUUGAUCGCUUGGCUGCAUAUAUGAGUAGAACUCUUAAUGACCUUAGGCUUAUUAGUAAACAUGCUUCCAUGGUAACUAUUCAAGUAGAACAAGUACUAAGGCACAAAAUGAUUUGCUCAAUGAGAUGAUUAGUAAGAACAAUGAUCAUUCUGUUAGAGUUGUGUCGUGGGGAACGAACACCUAUGGGACCUAGGGAUCCCUUGUGGUUCGGUGGGGGAGGCGGAUGCACCAAGAAUAGACCGAGAGGUCGGGGCAUGAUCGUUUUUACCCAGGUUCGGGCCGCUCGGAGGCGUAAAAUCCUACUCCUGCUUCAUGUUUAUUGAUGUCAUGUCAAGGUGAUGAGCUGAUAAGUGUUUGUUUGUUGAAUGGCUAACCUUUUCUUACGUGCAUGCCCAGGGCCUCCUUUUAUAGGUCGAAGGGGUCUCCAACAGCGGCAGCAUAGGGUUCUCAUGGGGUGCACACUGGAAUAGUGCACCCACAAGUUGCAUAAUGCGCUACAGUGCUUCUGGCGUCUUAGCACACGCAUUUACUGCUUCGUCAAAUGUCCGAGAGAUGGGACAAGGGUGCGUCCCAUCAGUAUUGUGCUCCCAGGCACCGCUCGACACGUGUCGAUCGAAAUGACACGUAACGAGUGCCUAUGGGCAGAUGGCUGUUGUGCUAGCACAAGGGCGCGUCGGGGCCCUACCGGGGGUUAACGCAGUGGAGCAUUGGUGGCUCCCCCGGCAAGGGUCUGGCCGGGGCUUUGGCUUCCUUCCCCCAGCAAAGGAGCUUGCGGGUUCGAUGUCUUCGAUCUUCUGGUAUGAGGCUUCGAGUGCAUUCGUGGUAAUUUUCCGCUGCCUCCGGCAAUACCUACCGUGGAUGGGGGGCACCUUGUCGGGGUUGUUGUCUUGCUGGGUCUCUGUUGGCCUCCCCUGGCAAAAGGGGCUUGUCGGAGGUGGCAUCUGCCUUUCAGUCUAAGUGAUUUUUGAGGGCUUCGCCUCUGCUUCCCGUCGUCCCUGGCAGGGCCUNNNNNNNNNNNNNNNNNNNNNNNNNNNNNNNNNNNNNNNNNNNNNNNNNNNNNNNNNNNNNNNNNNNNNNNNNNNNNNNNNNNNNNNNNNNNNNNNNNNNNNNNNNNNNNNNNNNNNNNNNNNNNNNNNNNNNNNNNNNNNNNNNNNNNNNNNNNNNNNNNNNNNNNNNNNNNNNNNNNNNNNNNNNNNNNNNNNNNNNNNNNNNNNNNNNNNNNNNNNNNNNNNNNNNNNNNNNNNNNNNNNNUUCUUUAGCGCACCGAGAGGAGUCCCCCGGCCUUGGCCAUACACGUGUCUGAGGCGUUUGUUGGGCUAGGGCCAAACAGUGCACGGGCACGCAUGGCCGAGAUUUGAGGCGUUGUUGGGCUUUUGCUUCGGCUGCCAAGUUCCCGUUGCGCGCCCUUGAAGGCGCAAUGUGGAAGUUGUGCGUGGGGUGGCCGAGAUGGCCGCGCGGGNNNNNNNNNNNNNNNNNNNNNNNNNNNNNNNNNNNNNNNNNNNNNNNNNNNNNNNNNNNNNNNNNNNNNNNNNNNNNNNNNNNNNNNNNNNNNNNNNNNNNNNNNNNNNNNNNNNNNNNNNNNNNNNNNNNNNNNNNNNNNNNNNNNNNNNNNNNNNNNNNNNNNNNNNNNNNNNNNNNNNNNNNNNNNNNNNNNNNNNNNNNNNNNNNNNNNNNNNNNNNGGGGGCGGCCUACCACGAUUGGCCAUUUCCGCCACGCGUGCUGCAUGCACAGCUGUGGCCUGACAUGUUGCGCCCGAGACUUAAACUCCUAACGAACACCGCACCCCAGAUUGGAGGAGCGGGGCGGCCCUCUGCUUGCCCGUGAUCGUGGGCGAGCGGAUUGGUGGAAGUGGGCGGUGGCUGUUGGAAAUGGGGGAAAGCCAGCCUCUGCAUUCCUCCCUAUAAAACUGGGGGAUUGCGAGAGGUGACGCUCAUCCUUCCUCCAAGAACAUCUCCAUCCAAUACCCAUCCUUCAUCUUCGUCUUGAGUCGUGUUGGCCCUUUGGUUAUGGCUAGAGGGAGAGGGCGGCCCCCAAUUUUCGCCUCAACGGCCAUGGGUUCUUGCUCGGAUCAUGCUGCCGCUUCAGCUCCCGAUGGAGGGGCUGGCCCGAGUGCCCAUGGCGGAAGAGGAACGAGGGGCUGCAGUCGCCGCGGAGGCCGUGGGCGGGGUAGGAGGUGUGCUGCUCCAGUACCUCCUUCGUUGCCGAACCUUCCUCCUGCGGGGACUCAUGCGGAGGGACAAUGCUAGAGUUCCUCGUGAAGUUGUGCGGCCGCAUCCGGACCCGUCUCCGCCUCCCUAGCGCCUUCGCCAGAGUGAUGGAGGAGGAGAGGCCGUUGGUGCUAUGGCUACAGGCGCACGGCUGCAGCAAUGGCGCCGUGCAGGUGGCCAUGGAGUACCCGGAGGCCCGCCUCCUGCUCCUUGGGCGUGGGUGGAAGAGCUUCGCCCGUGCCCACAAUCUCUAGGACGGGCACAUUCUUCGCUUCAAGAUGGUCGGGGCUAACCUGCUCUCCGUCAAAGUAUACGAGAGCUCAGGUAUACGCCUUAACUGCUGCGGAGAGAGCUCGAGCGUGAAAGCGACGAGGAGGACAGCUAUGGCUGCGAUAGUGGCAAUGGGUCAGGGCCUCGGCAGGUCAAGCCGGAGUACGAGGACCUGACCUCGGAUUAAUAGUCGGUUGCACCAUCACGGUCAACCCGUGCCUCUCCUCCUCUCCGGUUGGGGCGGACUCUCCGGUGGAUCCGACACUGCCUUGUUUUCCAGGCGGCAUGUGGACCUCAGCUUCUCCAUCCCUUUCGGUUGUGUUCUCCUUUGCGCAGUGCUGGUCCAGGAGGAACCAACAUGGGUUGUUGUUGUGGGCCUAGCCGCUCUUUCCUUCUUGUAGGUGCCUCCUCGUGGCAUAAGACAAAACUUAUCUUAAGUUAGUACGGCAAUCACAAUCGAUGUAAUAUAUAUCAUAUUAUCAUGAAUGAAAAUAUAUGUUAUUUUCCUUGUUUUGUUUCUCCUUGUAUGAUAAAAGAAAGACCCUAUGAUGUACUAGGCACUUGCCGGUGCGAACAGCACGGCCGUGAACGCUUAGAGGACGGGUCCUCUAUAGUCAGUCGGGGGCGUCGCUGCCGGCAAGCUACCGUGGCGUGACCAACCUUGUCGGCGCGUACAUGUUGGAAAUAUUCCCUACAGGCAAUAAUAAAGUGGUUAUUAUUAUAUUUCCUUGUUCAUGAUAAUUGUCUAUUAUUCUUGUUGUAAUUGUAUUAACCGGAAACUAUAAUACAUGUGUGAAUACAUAAACAACAAUGUGUCCCUAGUGAGCCUCUAGUUGUCUAGCUCGUUGAUCAAUAGAUGGUCAUGGUUUCCUGAUCAUGGACAUUGGAUGUCAUUGGUAACGGGAUCACAUCAUUAGGAGAAUGAUGUGAUGGACAAGACCCAAUCCUAAGCAUAGCACUAGAUCGUAUUGUUUGUCUACUAAAGCUUUUCUAAAGUCAAGUAUCAUUUCCUUAGACCAUGGGAUUGUGCAAAUCCCGGAUACCUUAGGAGUGCUUUGGGUGUAUCAAACGUCACAACGUAACUGGGUGAUUAUAAAUGUGCACUACAGGUAUCUCCGAAAGUGUCUGUUGGGUUGGUACGAAUCGAGACUGGGAUUUUUCGCUCCAUGUGACGGAGAGGUAUCUCUCGGCCCACUCGGUAAUGGAUCAUCAUAAUGAGCUCAAUGUGACUAUGGAAUUAGCCACGAGAUGAUGUGUUAUGGAACGAGUAAAGAGACUUGCCGGAAACGAGAUUGAACAAGGUAUAGGGAUACCGACGAUCGAAUCUCGGGCAAGUGUCAUACCGGUAGACAAAGGGAAUUGCAUACGCGAUUGAUUUAAUCACCGACAUCGUGGUUCAUCUGAUGAGAUCAUCGUGGAACAUGUGGGAGCCAACAUGGAUAUCCAGACCCUGUUGUUGGUUAUUGACCGGAGAGGUGUCUCGGUCAUGUCUGCAUGGUUCCCGAACCCGUAGGUUCUACACACUUAAGGUUCGAUGACGCUAGAGUUGUUACGGGAAUAGUAUAUGUGGUUACCGAAGGUUGUUCGGAGUCACGGAUGAGAUCCCGGUCGUCACAAGGAGUUCCGGAAUGGUCCGGAGGUAAAGAUUCAUAUAUAGGAAGUGGAGGUUUGAUCACCGGAAAUGUUUCGGGGAUCGUCGGUAUUGUACCGGGACCACCGGAAGGGAUCCGGGGGUCCACCGGGAGGGGCCACGAGCCCCGAAGGCCCGCGUGGGCCAAAAGUGGAUGGGAACCAGCCCCUAGAUGGGCUGGUGUGCCACCACCAAGGCCCAAGGUGCACAAGGGGGCGAAGGGGGCCAAACCCUAGGGCGUUGGGGCUGCCUUGGGCGGCAAGGCCACCCCUAGAGCGCCGCCCCUCCUCCUCUUGGCCGUCGCACCACCUAGGGGAAACCCUAGGGUGGUCGGCCCUCCUCCCCCUCCUCAUAUAUAUACCCAAGGGUUUUUGGGGAUGAUAAACAUAAGUUUCUCUCUACCUCGGCGCAGCCCUAUCUCUCCUCCUCCUUGUCCUCCGUAGCGCUUGGCGAAACCCCGCCGGAGUACCACGCAGCUCCACCGUCACCACACCGUCGUGUUACCGAAGCUCUCCCUCAACUUCUCCUUCUCCUUGCUGGAUCAAGGUGAAGGAGACAUCACCGGGAUGCACGUGUGUUGAACGCAGAGGCGCCGUUGUUCGGUGCUUAGAUCGGAAUCUUGUGCGAUCUAAAUCUCUAGGAUAUGACUCCGUCAACCGCGUUCGUAGUAAUGCUUCCACUUAGCGAUCUGCAAAGGUAUGAAGAUGCUCUACCCCUUGCUCGUUGCUAGCAUCUCCUAGAUAGAUCUUGGUGUGACGUAGGAAUUUUUUUGAAUUACUACUAUGUUCCCGAACAGUGGCAUUCGAGCGAGGUUCUAUGCGUAGAUUCUAUGCACGAGUAUAACACAAUAGUUGUGGGCGAUGAUUUUGUCAAUUGCUUGUCGUUACUAGUCCAAUAUUUUUUCGGCGGUAUUGUGGGAUGAAGUGGCCCGGGCCGAAUUUAUAUGUAUGCUUACGUGAGACUGGUUCCACCGCGUGACAUGCACUUGUUGCAUAAGGUGGCUAGCGGGUGUCUGUUUCUCCCACUUUAGUCGAAUUGGAUUCGAUGAAAAGAGUCCUUAUGAAGGGUAAAUAGCAUUGGCAUAUCAACAUUGUGGCUGUCACAUAGGUAAGAAGCAUUCUUGCUAGAAACCCAGAUCAGCCACGUAAAACUUGCAACAACAAUUAGAGGACGUCUAACUUGUUUCUGCAGGGUAUGACAUGUGAUGUGAUAUGGCCAAAAGGAUGUGAUGUUAUAUAUGUGAUGUAUGAGAUUGAUCAUGUUCUUGUAAUAAUAUUUACGACUUGCACGUCGAUGAGUAUGACAACCGGCAGGAGCCAUAGGAGUUGUCUUAAUUUAUUGUAUGAGAUGCAACGCCAUGUGAUUACUUUACUUUAUUGCUAACUGUUAGCUAUAGUAGUAGAAGUAAUAGUUGGCGAGAUGACUUCGCGAAGACACUGAUGGAGAUCAUGAUGAUGGAGAUCAUGGUGUCAUGCCGGUGACAAUGAUGAUCAUGCCGUGCCCCGAAGAUGGAGAUCAAAGGAGCAAGAUGAUAUUGGCCAUAUCAUGUCACUAUAUGAUUUUCAUGUGAUGUUUAUCAUGUUUUCAUCUUAUUGUUUAGAACAACGGUAGCAUAGAUAAGAUGAUCCCUCAUUAAAUUUCUAUAUAAGUAUUCCCCUAAGUGUGCACCGUUGCGAAGGACCGUUGUCUUGAAGCAUCACGUGAUGAUCGAGUGUGAUAGAUUCUAAUGUUUGCAUACAACGGGUGUAAGCCAGAUUUACACACGCAAAACACUUAGGUUGACUCGAGGAUCCUAGCAUGUACAGACAUGGCCUCGAAAUACGAGAGACCGAAAGGUCGAACAUGAGUUGUAUGGAUGAUACGAUUAGCAUGGAGAUGCUCACCAUUGAUGACUAGUCCGUUUCACAUGAUGAUCAGACACGGGCUAGUCGACGUGGAUCAUGUAUCACUUGGAUGACUAGAGGGAUGUCUAUCUGAGUGGGAGUUCAUUAAAUAAUUUGAUUAGAUGAACUUAGUCUAAAAUUCGUAUUUACAUUUUAUAUUGUAGAUCCAAUGGCCAACGCACAUGUCCCAUUCAAUUUCAACACGUUCCUAGAGAAAACCAAGCUGAAAGACGAUGGUAGAAAAUAUGCGGACUAGGAUCGUAAUUUAAAGCUCAUCCUCAUGGCUUCCAAGAAAGCAUAUGUCCUUGAUGCGCCACUAGGUGACCCUCCCAUUCCUGCGGCAGCCCAUGACGUUCAGAACGCCUGGCAGUCGCGAAGUGAUGACUACUCUCUGCUUCAGCGCGGGAUGAUUUACAGUUUAGAACCGGGGCUUCAAAAGCAUUUUGAGCAACAUGGAGCAUAUCAGAUGUUCGAGGAGCUGAAACUAGUUUUCCAAGCUCAUGCCCAGGUCGAGAGAUAUGAAGUCUCCGACAAGUUCUUCAGUUGUAAGAUGGAGGAUAAUAGUUCUGUGAGUGAGCACAUACUCAAAAUGUCUGGGUUGCACAAUCGCUUGUCGCAGCUAGGAGUUGAACUUCCGGAUGACGCGGUUAUUGAAAGAAUUCUCCAGUUGCUUCCACCUAGCUAUAAGGGCUUUGUGAUGAACUACAACAUGCAAGGGACGGAGAAGACCAUUCCCGAGUUGUAUUCAAUGCUGAAAUCAGCAUGGAAAUCAAGAAAGAACAUCAAGUGUUGAUUGUGAAUAAGACCACCAGUUUCAAGAAAGGCAAGGGUUAAAAGAACUUCAAGAAGGACGGCAAAGCAGUUGUCGCGCCCCGUAAACCGGUUGGGAGGAAGAAGCCAUAGAAAGGACACAAGCCCGAGACUGAGUGCUAUUAUUGCAAGGGAACCGAUCGGUGGAAGCAAAACUGCCCCAAGUACUUAGCGGAUAAGAAGGCUGGCAACAUCAAAGGUAUAUAUGAUAUACAUGUUAUUGUUGUGUACCUUACCAGCGCUCGUAGUAGCUCAUGGGUAUUUGAUACCGGUGAUGUUGCUCACAUUUGCAACUCAAAACAACAACUGUGGAAUAAGCGGGGGUUGGCAAAGGACGAGGUGACGAUGCGCGUCGGGAAUGGUUCCAAGGUCGAUGUGAUCGCCGUCAACACGCUACCUCUACAUCUACCUUCGAGGUUAGUUUUAAACCUUAAUAAUUGUUAUUUAGCAACAGCUUUGAGCAUGAAUAUUGUAUCGAGAUCUCGCUUGAUGCAAGAUGGCUACUCAUUUAAAUCUGAGAAUAAUGGUUGUUCCAUUUAUAUGAGUGAUAUGUUUUAUGGUCAUACCCCGCUGGUCAAUUGUUUAUUCUUGGUGAAUCUCGAACGUGAUGUUACACAUAUUUGUAGUGUGAGUACCAAAAGAUGUAAGGUUGAUAAUGACAGUCCCACAUACUUGUGGCACUGUCGCCUUGGUCAUAUCGGUGUCAAGCGCAUGAAGGAACUCCAUACAGAUGGACUUUUGGAGUCUCUUGAUUUUGAAUCAUUUGACACAUGUGAACCGUGCCUCAUGGGCAAGAUGACCAAGACUCCGUUCUCCGGAACUAUGGAGCGAGCAACCAACUUGUUGGAAAUAAUACAUACUGAUGUAUGCGGUCCAAUGAGCGUUGAAGCUCACGGUGUCUAUCGUUAUGUUCUCACCCUCACUGAUGACUUAAGCAGAUAUGGAUAUGUGUACUUAAUGAAACACAAGUCUAAAACUUUUGAAAGGUUCAAGGAAUUUCAAACUGAGAUAGAGAAUCAACGUGACAAGAGAAUAAAGUUCCUACAAUCUAAUCAUGGAGGAGAAUAUUUGAGUCACGAGUUUGGCACGCACUUAAGGAAAUGUGGAAUUGUUUCACAACUUACGCCGUCUGGCACACGGCAGUGUAACGGUGUGUCUGAACGUCGUAAUCGCACUCUAUUGGAUAUGGUGCGAUCUAUGAUGUCUCUUACUAAUUCACCCCUAUCAUUUUGCGGAUAUGCAUUGGAAACUGCCGCAUUCACUUUAAAUAGGGCACCGUCUAAAUCCGUUGAGAUGACAUCGUAUGAAUUAUGAUUUGGAAAGAAACCUAAGCUGUCAUUUCUGAAAGUUUGGGGCUGCGGUGCUUAUGCGAAGGAACUUAAACCUGAGAAGCUCGAACCCAAAGCAGAAAAAUGUGUCUUCAUAGGAUACCCUAAGGAAACUAUUGGGUAUUCCUUCUGUCUUAGAUCCGAAAGCAAAAUCUUUGUUGCCAAGAACGGAUCCUAUCUAGAGAAAGAGUUUCUAUCGAAAGAAGUAGUGGGAGGAAAGUAGAAAUUGAUGAGGUAAUUGUACCCCCUCUCGAACCGAAGAGUAGCGCAGCACAAGAAAAUAUUUCUGAGGUGCCUGCACCGGCUAGACAAGAAGUUAAUGAUGAUGAUCAUGAAACUUCAGAUCAAGUUGCUACUGAACCUCGAAGGUCCACAACGACACGUUCGACAGCAGAGUGAUGGGACAACGGUCAUGGAAAUCAUGUUGUUGGACAACAGUGAACCUUUGAACUAUGACGAAGUGAUGACGGGCCCUGAUUCCAAAAAAUGGCUUGAAGCCAUGAAAUCCGAGAUAGGAUCCAUGUAUGAGAACAAAGUAUGGACUUUGGUGGACUUGCUCGAUGAUGGCGAGCCAUAGAAAAUAAAUGGAUCUUUAAGAAUAAGACCGACACGGAUGGUAAUGUGACCAUCUAUAAGGCUUGAUUUGUCGCUAAGGGUUAUCGACAAGUUCAAGGAAUUGACUACGAUGAGACUUUAUCACCCGUAGCGAUGCUAAAGUCGGUCCGAAUCAUGUUAGCAGUUGCCGCAUUUUAUGAUUAUGAGAUCUGGCAAAUGGACGUCAAACAGUAUUCCUUAACGACUUUCUUAAGGAAGAAUUUGUAUAUGAUACAGCCGUAAGGUUUUGUCGAUCCUAAUAAUGCUGAAAAGUUAUGCAAGCUCAAGCGCUCCAUCUAUGGGCUGGUGCAACCAUCUCGGAGUUGGAACAUUCGCUUUGAUGAGGUGAUCAAAGCGUUUGGGUUUGUACAAACUUAUGGAGAAGCCUGUAUUUACAAGAAAGUGAGUGGGAGCUCUGUCGCAUUUCUCAUAUUAUAGGUGGAUGACAUAUUGUUAAUUGGAAAUGAUAUAGAACUUUUGAAAAUCAUAAAGGCCUAUUUGAAUAAGAGUUUUUCAAUGAAGGAUCUUGGAGAAGCUGCUUACAUAUUAGCCAUCAAGAUCUAUAGAGAUAGAUCGAGACACCUCAUUGGUCUUUCACAAAGCACAUACCUUGACAAGAUAUUGAAGAAGUUCAAUAUGGAUAAGGCCAAGAAGGGGUUCUUUCCUGUAUUACAAGGUGUGAGGUUGAGAAAAGCUCAACGCCCGACCAUGGCAGACGAUAGAGAGAAGAUGAGUACCGUCCCCUAUGCUUCAGCCAUAGGCUCUAUUAUGUAUGUCAUGUUGUGUACCAGACCUGAUGUGAACCUUGCCAUAAGUUUGGUAGGGAGGUACCAAAGUGAUACAGGAGUGGAUUACUGGAGAGCAGUAAAGAAUAUCCUUUCGUACCUGAAAAGGACUAAAGAUAUGUUUCUCGUUUAUGGAGGUGCCGAAGAGCUCGUCGUAAAGGGUUACGUCGAUGCCAGCUUGGACACAGACCGGAUGACUCCAAGUCACAAACCGGAUACGUGUAUAUUUUGAAUGGUGGGUCAGUCAGCUGGUGCAGUUGCAAGCAAAGCGUCGUGGCGGCAUCUACAAGUGAAGCGGAGUACAUAGCUACUUCGGAAGCAGCAUAGGAAGGAGUCUGGAUGAAGGAGUUCAUCACCGACUUAGGAGUGAUUCCCAGUGCGUUGGGCCCAAUGACUCUCUUUUGUGACAACACUAGAGUUGUUGCCAUUGCAGGGAGCCCAGGUUUCACAAGAAGACUAAGCACAUCAAGCGCCGCUUCAACUCCAAUCAUGGAUACAUCCAGGAUGGAGAUAUAGAUAUUUGUAAAGUACUUACGGAUCUGAAUGUCGCACAUCCGUUGACUAAACCUCUUCCACGAGUGAAACCUGAUCAGCACCAGAACUCUAUGGUUGUUCGAUUCAUCACAAUGUAACUACAUUAUUGACUCUAGUACAAGUGGGUGACUGUUAGAAAUAUGCCCUAGAGACAAUAAUUAAGUGGUUAUUAUUAUAUUUCCUUGUUCAUGAUAAUUGUCUACUAUUCAUGCUAUAAUUGUAUUAACCGGAAACCGUAAUACAUGUGUGAAUACAUAGACCACAAUGUAUCCCUAGUGAGCCUCUAGUUGGCUAGCUCGUUCCUCAAUAGAUGGUCAUGGUUUCCUGAUCUUGGACAUUGGAUGUCAUUGGUAACGGGAUCACAUCAUUAGGAGAAUGAUGUGAUGGACAAGACCCAAUCCUAAGCAUAGCACUAGAUCAUAUUGUUCGUCUACUAAAGCUUUUCUAAUGUCAAGUAUCAUUUCCUUAGACCAUGAGAUUAUGCAACUCCCGGAUACCGUAGGAGUGUUUGGGUGUAUCAAACGUCACAAAGUAAGUGAGUGAUUAUAAAGGUGCACUAUAGGUAUCUCCGAAAGUGUUUGUUGCGUUGGUAUGAAUCAAGACUGGGAUUUCUCGCUCCGUGUGACGGAGAGGUAUCUCUGGGCCCACUCGGUAAUGCAUCAUCAUAAUGAGCUCAAUGUGACUAAGGAGUUAGAAACGGGAUGAUGUGUUAUGGAACGAGUAAAUAGACUUGCCGAAAACGAUAUUGAAUAAGGUAUAGGGAUACCGACGAUCGAAUGUCGGGCAAGUAUCAUACUGGUAGACAAAGGGAAUUGCAUACGGGAUUGAUUGAAUCCCCGAGAUGGUGGUUCAUCUGAUGAGAUCAUCGUGGAACAUGUGGGAGCCAACAUGGAUAUCCAGAUCCCGCUGUUGGUUGUUGACCGGAGAGGUGUCUCGGUCAUGUCUGCAUGGUUCCCAAACCCAGAGGGUCUACACACUUAAGGUUCGAUGACGCUAGAGUUGUUAUGGGAAUAGUAUAUGUGGUUACCGAAGGUUGUUAGGAGUCCUGGAUGAGAUCUCGGACAUCACAAGGAGUUCCGGAAUGGUUCGUAGGUAAAGAUUCAUAUAUAGGAAGUGGAGGUUUGAUCACCAACAUAUAUGAAAACCGGUAAGAACUGCGAAGCGCUUAACUUUUAUUUAUGCGUGUGCACAAGAUUGUGUUGGACUUUGUGCGAAGGUUUAUAUGCCCUACUGGCAAGACUUGCGCAAAGGAGGGUUGCUAGGAGCCCUGGCCCCCGAGCUUCAUGGGCUACUCGCAAGAAUGUUUCCGGCCUGGAGGUGGUUAGAGCAGCGCCGGGCCUCCUUGGGAGCGUCAGGACCCGGCAAGGAUGCGUCGUCUAGCCCGGGGCGCUCCACAUCGUGCCCUCGGCAGCAGUACAACGCUCCUAAAAGGCGAACCUGCUGGAAUGAGCACCUGGAGUCUUGCUGGAGCCCCCUGGAAUGCCCUCGACAAUGGUGCAUCGCUCCGGAGGGGUGCGCUCGCCGGAGAAGGUGUCGGAGGUCUUGCCGGAGCCCCCGGCGCAUUCAACAGCGAAACUGCACUCUAGGAGGAGGUGUAUCUAUUGGAGUGCGUGGAAGCCCAGUGGCCCCGCUCCCCUGGUCUUCGUCCGUGCCGUUGGUGGCCUGGGUCACUGCAGACGCGGCCGCGAAUUGAUGAGCCGCCAUGGCCGCUCUCUCCUCGGAGGCUGAUAUGUCUCCAACAUAUCUAUAAUUUUUUAUGGUUCCAUGGUAUUAUCUUGUCAACUUUGGAUGUUUUAUAUGCAUGAAUAUGCUAUUUUAUAUAUUUUUUUGGGACUAACCUAUUAACUCAGUGCCAAGUGUCAGUUUAUGUUUUUUCCGUGUUUUUGGCCCAUUUUCAGACGGAGUCCAAAUGGAAUGAAACUUUACGAUGAUUUUUUUGGACCAAAAGAGACCCCCGAAGCUUUGGGAGAAGGCCAGAUGGGCCACGAAGGAGUCACAAGCCCUCACGCCGCCGCCACCACCACCCCCCCGAUGGUGGCGCGCAGGCUUGUGACCUCCUCGUAGGCCCAACUGACGCAAUUCCACCUGCCAUAAAUUCCUAUAAAUUAAGAAACCCCCAAAAAGAAACCUAGAUCGGGAGUUCCGCCGCCGCAAGUAUCUGUAGCCACCAAAAACUAAUCUGGAGCCCGUUCCAGCACCCUGCCGGAGGGGGAAUCCAUCUCCGGUGGCCAUCUUCAUCAUCCCGGCAAUCUCCAUGACGAGGAGGGAGUAGUUCUCCCUCGGGGCUAAGGGUAUGUACCACUAGCUAUGUGUUUGAGCUCUCUCUCGCGUGUUCUUGAGAUGUCUUAAUCUCGAUGUACCAUGGGCUUUGCUACUAUAGUUGGAUCUUAUGAUGUUCUUCCCCCUCUCCCUCUUGUAAUGAAUUGAGUUUCCCCUUUGGAGUUAUCUUAUCGGAUUGAGUCUUUGAGAACACUUGAUGUAUGUCUUGCACGUGUCUAUCUGUUGUGAUCAACUUGCGGGUUUGUGACAAUUGGGAACCUAUGCAUAUGGGUUGGCACACGGGGAUUCAUGUGAGUACUUGAUGUAUGUUUUGGUGAUCAACUUGCGGGUUCGUGACAUUGGGAACCUAUGCAUAGGGGUUGGCACACGUUUUCACUCUCUGGUAGAAACUUUGGGGCACUCUUUGAAGUUCUAUGUGUUGGUUGAAUAGAUGAUUCUGAGAUUAUGUGAUGCAUAUCGUAUAAUCAUGCCCACUAAUACUUGAGGUGUCAAUGGAGUAUCUAGGUGACAUUAUGGUCUUGGUUGAUAUGUAUCUUAAGGUGUUAUUCUAGUACGAACUAUAUGAUAGAUCGAUCAAAAAGAAUAACUUUGUGGUGGUUUCGUACCCGACAAUAAUCUUUUCGUUUGUUCUCUGCUAUUAGUGACUUUGGAGUGACUCUUUGUUGCAUGUUGAGGGCUAGUUAUAUGAUCCAAUUAUGCUAUCACUGUUGAGAGAACUUCACUAGUGAAAGUAUGAACCCUAGGCCUUGUUUCCACGCAUUGCAAUACCGUUCGUGCUCACUUUUACCAUUUGUUACCUUGUUGUUUUUGUAAUUUCAGAUUACAAAAACCUGUAUCUACCAUCCAUAUUGCACUUGUAUCACCAUCUCUUCGCCGAUCUAGUGCACCUAUACAACUUACCAAUGUAUUAGGUGUGUUGGGGACAUAAGAAACUCUUUGUUAUUUGGUUGCAGGGUUGCUUGAGAGAGACCAUCUUCAUCCUACGCCUCCCACGGAUUGAUAAACCUUAGGUCACCCACUUGAGGGAAAAUUACUACUGUCCUACAACCCUCUGCACUUGGAGGCCCAACAACGUCUACCAGGAGAAGGUUGCGUAGUAGACAUCAGAGGCCGUGGCGGUGGUCGUGAUGACAAAGCUUAUGCCCCCGAUCCUUAGGUCAGAUCAGUGCACCUUCUUUAGAACCCCAACCUAGCGCGCCAGAGAUGUCGUGCGAAACACGAACUCCUAUGGGACCUGGGGAUCCCUUGUGGUUCGUCGGGGGAGAAGGAUGCACCGAGAGCAGACCGAGGGUCAGGGCAAGAUCAUUUUUACCCAGGUUUGGGCCGCUCAGAGGCUUAAAACCCUACUCCUUUUUCGUGUUUAUUGAUGUUAUGUCAAGGUGAUGAGCUGCUAAGUGUCUGUUUUUGACUGGCCAACCUUUCUCAUGUUCGUGCACAGGGCCUCCUUUUAUAGGUCGAAGGGGUCUCCAAAAGUGGCAGCCCAGGGUUCUCACGGGGUGCACAGUGGAACAAUGCAACCACAAGUUGCGUAGUGCGCUACAGUGCUUUUGGCAUCUUAGCAGACGCAUUUAAUGCUUCGUCAGAUGUACCAGAGAUGGGACAAGGGUGCGUCCCAUCGGCAUUGUGCUCCUAGGUACCGUUCGACACGCAUCGAUUAAAACGACACGUAUCGAGUGGCUAGGGGCAGCUACCUGUUGCGCUGGCACAAGGGCGCGUCGGGGCCUUGCCGGUGGUGUAACGCACUUGAGAGUUGGUGGCUCCCUCAGCAAGGGUUUUGCUAGGGCUUCGUAUGCCUUCCCCUAGCAAAGGGGCUUGCCGGGGUCGAUGUCUUCGGUCUUCUGGCAUGAGGAUUUGAGUGCCUUGGUGGUAAUUUUCCGCAGGCUCCGGCAAGACCUUACCGCGGAUGGGGGCCACCUUCUCGGGGUUGUUAUCUUGGUGGGUCUCUGCUGGCCUCCCCCGGCAAAAGGAGCUUGCCGGAGGUGGCGUCUUCCUUUCAUUCUAAGUGAUUUUUUAGGGCUUCGCCUCUGCUUCCCGUCGUCCCUGGCAGGGCCUGCCGCGGGCUACUACCGUUCGUGCACAAGUCAUGGGCGCUAAAGCCCCAUUCUUUAGCGCACCGACAAGUUGUGACUAGAGGUGGUAGAAUGACUCAGGAACCUUUGUAUCCUUAGGGUCAUCCUAAAACAAUUGAGCAAGAAUAUCAGAGAGAUAACAUUAAUGUACAUGGUCCUUCUAAUAAAAAGAGUAAGAAUGUUGAUAGGAGUUUGCAUGCUGCUAGUGAACCUGUUAUAGAGUCUCAUGAAAACCCAAAUGAUACCUCUAUUUCUGAUGCUGAGACACAUUCUGGUAAUGAACAUGAACCUAGUGAUAAUAUUAAUGAUGAUGUUCAUGUUGAUGCUCAACCUAGUAAUGACAAUGAUGUGGAGAUUGAACCUGUUGUUGAUCUUGAUAACCCACAACCUAAGAAUAAGAGAUAUGAUAAAAGAGAAUUUGUUGCUAGGAAGCAUGGUAGAGAAAGAGAACCAUGGGUUCAAAAACCCAUGCCCUUUCUUCCUAAACCAUCCAGAAGAAGGAUGAUGAGGAUUUUGAGCGCUUUGCUGAAAUGCUCAAACCUAUUUUCCUACAUAUGCAUUUAACUGAUAUUCUGACAUUGUCUCCCUAUGCUAAGUACAUGAAUGAUAUUGUUACUAAUAAUAGAAAGAUACGUCAAGCUGAGAUUUCCACCAUGCUUGAUAAUUAUACUUUUAAGGGUGGAAUACCAAAGAAGUUAGGAGACCCCGGAGUACCUACUAUACCAUGCUCCAUUAAAAUAAAUUAUGUUAAAACUGUUUUAUUUGACCUUGGAGCUGGUGUUAGUGUUAUGUCGUUCUCUUUAUAUCUUAGACUUGACUUAAAUAAGUUGAUACCUACUGAAAUCUCUCUUCAAAUGGCUGAUAAAUCAACUGCUUUACCUAUCGGUAUUUGUGAGGAUGUGCAUGUUGUGCUUGCAAACGUUACUAUCUUAACGCACUUUGUUAUUCUUGAUAUUCCCGAGGACGACAGUUUGUCGAUCAUCCUUGGUAAACCUUUUUAGAAUACUACAGGGGUUGUUGUUGAUUGCAACAAAGCCAAUGUCACUUUCAUGUUAAUGGUAAUGAGCAUAUGGUACACUUCCCGAAGAAGCAAUCUCAAGUUCAUAGCAUCAACUCCAUUGAAAAAAUUCCAACAUUCAUUAUUGGAGACUUUGAAUUCCCUCUUCCUACUGCCAAGAAGAAAUAUGAUAUACUUAUUUUUGGGGACAUGCAUAUCCCAUUGAGGUAACGUACUGUUAUUCAAAAGUUCUUCGGUUCCAUGUCAUUCGAAAAAAGUUUGUCGAUAAGACUUGAUCGACCUUAUUGAUGGAUUCUUUUUGACGGGCAUGAGAUGGAUGAAUUAAGAAAGCACAACUUUCUGUACUUAACUUUUUAUUUCUUGUUCCUUAGUUUCAAUUUAGUAAAAAAAGUUACUAUUUGCAUGUUUUCCGUUUCACCUGUGCAAUAGAAAAUAUCCUGAAAAAUAAAAGUUCUCAGAACUCCCUGAAAAUUUCUGGUACUAAGAAUACAUCAGGGGGUUGCACCAGUGGGCCACAAGCCUGCAGGACGUGGCCACCCUCCUGGGCGCGCCCCCUGGCUUGUUGGUCCCACGUGGGGCCCCUUCACUUAUUCCAGUACCCAUCCGCUCCUUCUUCCUCUAUAAAAAAUCUGAGCAUUGCUCAAACCCGUGUUUUAGCUCAUCUUGCUGCCAUUUUCGAUCCCCUUGCUCAAAGCUUCAUUUGCAAAACUAUUUUUAGGGGAUUGUUCAUCAUUAUGUGACUCAUCCAAUGGUCCAAUUAGUUUUUGUUCUAGUGCUUUAUAUAUUGCAAAGUCUUGCUACUAUGGUGACCUUGUUCUUGAGCUUGCAUAUCUAAUUUAUAAGGUCCCAAGUAGUUUUGAUGCAUGAUAUAGCUUCUAGGCACUUGUGGGAGUAGUUUCUAUAAGUUUGAUUGAGCUUUGUUCAUUUUUAUUUGGAGUCACUAAAAAAUUUAGACUUAUUUUUCACAAAAAGAAAGAUGAGGAGAUUGUUAAGAGGCUCUUCAAGCCGGGGUUCUAAAGAAAAUGUAAAUGAGAAGCCUACAUACAAUAUACCUCACACCUCGGGAGUUCGACCAUGUGAAUGGCCAAGUGAGGCAUUCUUGAGGGCGGCCGGAAUUUAUGAAGAUUUUUACUAUCUAGCAUAAAAUGCAGGCAUCACCGACUUCUUCAACGAUAAGUGUGACCAGUAUCUCCUACUUACUAAUACUUUCGUGUAAAUUUUUCACUUUUAUCCUAGGAAGAAUCCUCCCAUGGUAGAAUUUCAUUUAUAUGAUGUGCCUAAGGAAAUGUCACUUUAUGAUUUUUGCAAUGUUUGCAUAUUACCUUUUGAGGGCAGCAUCAGUAAACCACACCCUAGAGACAUGGAGGAUUUUAUUCCCGUAAUCACUGUAGGAGAAGAAGAAGCCGUGUCAAAGGCAAGAGCGGCCAGCGUACAUUUUCCCGUCCUAUGUUAUUAUUCAAUAUUUGCAGGGAGAUGUUUAGUUGGUCGCGGUGAGAGUGGAAGCCUCAGUGCUCCCGACCUCACUAUUCUGUGCCACCCUUUACUUGCUGAUAUAACGUUUAGUCUCGGCACUAUAGUGGCUCAGAGGUUGAAUUUAAACCGUUCGAAGGGCAUUAUAUUAGGAAGAGGAAAUGUGACUGCCUACGAGAUAUUUAGAUUAUGAUAGGAUGGUAGCACAUGAUUUUAUUAAGAAAGAUAAUAGUGGGAGGUUGCUUUAUAACUUAGUAUUUAGCCAAGGUACCUGUGAGAUUAUUACCUUGCCUGCUCCUUCUUUUUUCGAUAUCCAUGCAGGAAAGUACACUAUUAUGCCCGAGGACAUUUACAAUUAUUGGGGCCUGUCGCAACCCCUAGCACCUAAGCCUCCACCAGCCCUCGGUCUGUACCAAGUUCUAGUUUUUCAGUGGGAGCCGCAGGAGCCUGCAAUCCAAUGGAACCCUCAGUAUUCUCCGGAGUAUCCAGGAGAGGGUUUGUCGGCAUUGCUAGGUCGACACCUAUGGGAAUCAACGUGAUACCCUUGUGAUCAUAGGGCGGGAAAAGACGACGUUAAGAGCGGAGCUAACAAUCAACACCAGGCAAGCGUUUUUACCCAGGUUCGGGCCACUUACGCGUAAAACCCUACGCCGUGCUCGUCUGAUCGUAUUAAGCGUUUCGUUGUUCGUUACAAUGACUGAUGAUAACCGUGUUCUAGCCAAUGUCCAAAGAGUCUCACCCCUUGUGAAUGAGCUAAGGGCCUCCUUUUAUAGGCAAAGGGGUCACCUACAGUGCUCGGUGGUAGGUUCACAAGAAGUUACAAUGAACCUAGAGAGGUGCGUAUCCAUCUACCGCUGUCAGGUGGAUUAAAUGCACGUCUUGUCCUUGUCAGCAACGUGCUGGUGAAGACAUGUGUCCACGCGUUUCGACACUUGGACGUCGUGCUGGCGCAUGCGGAAUGCGCUCGAACUUGGGGGCGGUUGCACCGUGGCGAGGGUGGUUGCCCUCCAGUGCCUAGCCCGUCAUCCCGGCAAGGGAGCUCGCCGGGGCCUUGGGACUUCGUCCCGGCAAGGAAGCUUCCCGGGGGCUUCGGUUGUCGUCCCGGCAAAUGAGGUUUGACGAGGCCUCGUGCCUGGUGAUUUCAUCACGCCCACUAAAUGGGUGUGGCCUUGGUUAUCCUCCCGGCAAGGUAGGCUUGCUGGGGCCUUGUUAAUCUUGGGGGCGCAUCUUGUCUGGACUCUGCCACGCCCUGCCGUCAGGGGGCCUUUGCGCCCGUGCACAAGUCUGGGGCACUAGGGACCCCAGUCUUUAGUGCACCGACAGGAGCCCCGGGGCCUGGGCCACACACGUGUGCGGAGCGUUGUCGGGCCAGGCCCAAAGAGGUGCACGGGCCUUCGUGGCUGGAUCUACUGGCAGUUGCCUUUCCUCACAUCAUGCAUCGGAUGCGCGAAGUGGGAGGCCAUGCGCGGAGUGGCCUCUCCGCCUCUUGAAACGCCUCUACCACAUGCGUGGCAUGCGCAAUCAUGGAUGGACAGGUGGCAGACGAGGCCUUGAAAGGCGCAGUAGUAGCUGGGCCCGCCUGUGCAUGCAUUGGCGCAUCAGGGUGGUUCUCUGUUCGCCCGUGAGCUCGAGCGAUUGAGCGCCAGGGGUUGUGGCUUUUGGAGCAAGGGAGGCUAGCCCCUGUGCUCCGUCCUAUAAAUUGGGAGGGUUUGCGAGGGGUUUUGCUCACCGAACUCCCUGUGAAUCCACCAAUUCCUCGAUCUUGGCCUUCAGAAUCUUCUCCUGUUUGUAGGUGGCGCUCGCCCCUAACCAUGGUUAGGGGACGAGGUCGGCCACCGUCGGCCUCCAGGGCUGCGAGGGGAUCCCGUUCGGAUCAUGCCAGAGCUUCUGGGGGUGCCGCGGUGGAAGACGACCCGAAAGCCCAUGGUGGAGGAAGGGCGAGGGGCCGAGGUCGCUGUGGAGGUCGAGGCCGGGGGAGGCAGAGCGCUACUCCAACGCCUCCGCCUUCCCCGGGUCUUGCUCAUGUGACGACCCACCAUGUUGCUUUAGGGGCCCCCACGUGUGCUUCUCGACUGCUGCGAAGGUCGCUCGAGCGGCAUUGGGAGAUCCGCUUCGAGCGACGGCGACGAGGGGGGCGGAGGCGGCAGUGGUGCUCCUCACAGGUCCGGAGCCCGGGGGGUCAAGUCGGAGUACGAUCCCCCGAGCCCCGACUGACUGCUGGCCCUGCCGCCGGCGCCCGCUCACGCCUCUCCCCCUCCUUGCCGGGGCCUGCAUCGACGCCUUGUCUCCCAGGCCGUGCGACCAUUGGACCCGGGCCCUUCACUUCUUCAGGCGUUGCUCUCCAUUGCGCAAAGCUGGUCGAGGAGGGGCCAACCGGGGUUGCGCAGUGCGUCGGCCUGCUUUUUGUCUUUUUGAACUUCGCUCCUCCGCGUAGGUAGAUCCUCAUCAAAAGACAGAGUAUUUGGGUCAGGAUAUCAAUACUAUGUAAGCAAAGCCAAAUGUUUCCAUUCAAAUGAAUGAAAAAGAUUGUUUUCCCCCUUUUUCCUAUUCCUUCUUUGUAUGAUUCGUUUUUGCAUAAUCUGGGAGCUUGCCGGCAACUACCGGCAAGGCUCCUUGCCGCAUUCAGUGCAACCAUGGAAAUCGCCAAGCGCAGCUUGAGACGAAAUCGGGUGCUACGUAGCCGCUUGCUCCGUUGAUCAGGUUCGCAACUGUUUGAUGGCGCUCUGUGGCCAUUCGGGUCGUUUGAACGAGUUCGAAACUAAGUAAAGGUGCACCGAACUUUGGGAAGGUCCCAGUACGCGCAAACUCCACACACAAAGACUGGAAGCUUUUGAAGGGAAUGAGCAAAGGAUCUAUCUACUUCAGAUCUGAAUCUUAAACUUAAAAACUUAUCUCCUCACGUCGUGGUUGCAUGGCGUUUGAGUCUUUUGCCAGGGCGUCGGAGCCCUCGGCAAACAGGGAAUAACCGCUCCCGGCGGUUUUUCCUCCAGCAAAGUCUUCUUGCCGACGGUUCUCGACCGCCUUUUGGAGGAAAAGCCGGCCACGGUGUAACCCCUUUGCUUUUCUCUUGCAAGGUUGUGCUUGCGGAGCCCCCGAGCGCGUCUUUGGGCGACGAUGCGAAGCUCGGAGGGGCGCAACACUCGCGCUGGAACGUGCGCCAGGGCUUUAGGACAGUGUGGCACAUCCCCGGUGACCAUGCAUCGCUCCGCGGAGGUGCGUCCGCCGAAGUAUGCGUCGGGGCCUCUGUGAAGCGCCCAGGCACGCCCUCGACAUCCGCGCGUUGGCCCCCGAGCGCCGCAUCGGCCUGACGAUGCUACUCUUGGAGCCUCCGCCUCCCUUAGCAACGCGCUCGCGUAGGCCUUGGGAAGCCAUAGCAGAAUAGGGUGCCCGCCGCGGUACCCCGUUUCUGGGGGAACGCGGCAUAGCGCCCAAACUUCGAUGGAGCCAGUGUUGAGUUUGCUCUGAUUCACGCGUCUCCCCACCGACCCCUACCUGGCGCGCCGAAGAUGUCGGCGUUGCUAGGUCAACACCUAUGGGAAUCAACGUGAUACCCUUGUGAUCGUAGGGCGGGGAAAGACGACGUUAAGAGCGGAGCUAACGAUCAACACCCGACAACCUUUUUACCCAGGUUCGGGCCGCUUAUGCGUAAAACCCUACGUCCUACUCGUCUGAUCGUAUUAGGAGUUUCGUUGUUCAUUACAGUGACUGAUGAUAACCGUCUUCUAGCCAAUGUCUAAAGAGUCUCACCCCUUGUGAAUGAGCUAAGGGCCUCCUUUUAUAGGCAAAGGGGUCACCUACACUGCUCGGUGGUAGGUUCAUGAGAAGUUACAGUGAACCUAGAGUGGUGCUUAUCCAUCUACCGCUGUCAGGUGCAUUAAAUGCACGUCUUGUCCUUCUCAGCAACGUGCUGGUGAAGACAUGUGUCCAGGCGUUUCGACACUUGGACGCCGCGCUGGCGCAUGCGGAAUGCGCUGGAAUUUGGGGGGCGGUGGCACAGUGGCGAGGGUGGUUGCCCUCCAGUGCUGUCACACCCUGUUUUCACUACCACUUCGUGUGUACUGCAAAAAAUCUGAGCUUGUUAAAACUUUUUCAAAAACUAAUGUUGUGAGUGCCAUGAUUGGCAUUGUAUGCUUGUAUGUUUAAUCAUGUGAUUAUAAAAACCAUAUUUCACAAUAUUGAAUUGUUUCCAAAACCUUUUCCUGUUUCUAAUUAAGGUAAAACUCUACUUUGAGUUGCACUACAUGCCCUUGAUGGCAAGGAGUGUUCUCACCCAAAGUUGGUGAUCUGAUUUUAGCUUUACUUUAGUGCAACAAAACCACAAAAUAAUUAUUUUGUGAAUUAUUUUUCUAAUUUAUUUGCAUGUCCAUGUCUGAGGCUAGAAAUGGUAUUCCUAUAUGGAAAAAUACUUUUCUGCCUUAGAAAAAUGUGAUUAAAUUUGGAGAUGAUUAGAAGGACAUAUAUUUUCCAUACAUAAGAUUUUAACCCCUAUUUAUAUUAUAAUUAUUUGAGAAAACCCUAAAAACCAUUUCUGUCUGUUUUGACCUUUUGAAAUAUUUCCAAAGGAAAUAUUCUCAAUAAAAUCCUAGAAAAUCCAGUGGUAUCCCUAUGCCAUAUUUGGUGUCCACAUAAAGUUUCACUUUGAUCCAAGGUGAUUAAGAACCCCAAAUAACUGCAAAACGCCUUCUGUCCAGAUUGAAGUUAGAGCAACUCUACAUAGCAAAGUUCGUUCAAUGAUGUUGAAACUUUGAGGAGUGUCUGAUACCUCAAAUCAGGGUUCCACGUCAAAAAUGGGAUUUGUGGGACUAAAUUUGCCCACACUCUCUUUGGAAGGGACAGAUCUGGUCAAAUGGUGAAGUUUUCAAGUUUACGAAGCUAAACUUGUCCAAUGGAGCUCAAACUUCGUGAAACCACAUGUUUUAGCACCAAACCCAAACUUGUUAUGUUGCAGAACCAGUGGUGGGGUGCAACCACCCCAAACCACUGUUGAGCACCUUCUCACAGAUGGGUAAAAGCCCCUUUAACCAUAGCUAAACCUAACCCCUUUGCACCAAACUCUCAGAUUAGGUGGCCAGUAUCAAUGCCCAGCCCCAGAUGACUGGCCCCUCUCUGGUUCAAAGUAGAAAUGCCAAAAUCUCCAUUCCAAGCUUCAGCUCAAAGCUCACAACACUUGUUCUCUUGUCUCCCUUGACCAGCCGAAGCUUCCACUGACUUCAACGGCUGGCCUCAUCCCAGCCAGUGCCCAGGACAUGCUAGACACGUCCAAAGCACCUCAGAGCACACCAGCAUGACGUGGCAUGCCAAAACUGCGCUCUUGGCGCGCUACAGGGAGCCACCGAGGUGGGGGCGACGCCCUCGGCCAGUUCCAGCCACCCCCGAGGUGUCCAACCUCUUCCACGACAAGCCCUCUGCAUCAAGCGACCAUCAGGGCCCCUCAUCUCCCGCGCUAGAGCUUGUGUGACGCGUGCCCGCGCGCACCAGACCCGGCCAGACUUGCGAGGCCACGGAUGAUCGACUCCCCUCUCUCUCCCUCUAUUGCGGAUGGUUCUGGCAAUCCAAAACUACGUCCUGGGACCGUGGUUUCGACCCCAGCUCCUCUCUACACCCCCAUGCGCGCCACGGUAAGUCACCGGCGCUCCCGAGUCGGCUCACCAUCGUGGGCCUAUAUAUAGCCCUCCCCCUCACUCCAGCACCCCCUCAGACAGCUUUGCCGCAACCACUAGAACCUCCCUAGCCACCUCAGCAAGCCAGCAGAGCCCUGGUGCUCGAGAUCGACCGAGGCCCCUCCGUCUCGGAGCUCCGGUCGAUCUCCGGCUACAUGACGGCUCGUGCGUCCCUCGACCCACCAAACCAUUCCCCUUGACCUCAGGGAGCUUUCCCCCAACUUUCCCAAGCUUAUUCGUGCCCUAGCUAACCCCUCGACCACCUCCCGAAUCUCCUCCGUCGCGGCCUCCUCGUCGCGGGUGAACCUAAGCCUCUUCGUCGUUGUUCCGACCACCAGCACGUAGGCGACAACGAACCGGACCCAUUUCCGUCUUCGUUGGGGCCCGAGGACGUCGGCAGCCUCGUCGGCGUGCUCCUCCUCCUCUCUGGCCAGAGGUAGGAGAUGACCCCGAUAGGUGUGUCCCACCUGUCGGUGGCCUAACCCCCUCUCCCUCGCUGCCCCCAAUUGCUGACCGCAAGGCCCCGCACGUCAAGUUCAAACCAGACGGCGCGCGCGCCUGGGCAGGCUGUUGGCUGGCCUUUGCGUCGGCCCAGUCCCAUGCCAAGCCAGGGGCUAUAGCCCCUUUUUAUUUUGUUUUUAAAUUGGAUUUUCAAAGAUUUUUAUAAAAAGAUUUAACCAGUGUAGAAAUCUAAUUUUUCUAGUGUUAUUCUUCUAAAAAUAUGUAGUAUUUAAUAGAACCAUUUGUUGAAUUUUUGCAGCCACUAUCAUUUUUAUAAUAAUAAAAAGGAUUAAAUUGGAAUAGUUUUGCUUCUGUUUAGUUGAUUUUAAAAAUAUUCCUUCAUUAGAAUCAAAGGCAAAUAUUUUUUAAAUAACAACCUAGAUUUAUCAGAAAUAACCAACAUUUUUAAAAUGACUUUGUGAUCUGUUUUUGAGUGAGCUAUUUCUUAUUUGUUCUUUUGACGACGAUAGAAAAUCCGUGGGAUGAGGGAAUCGGAGUGGAAGACCUCGAAGACCCCGGAUUCCUAGCUGACCAAGGCAAGAAGCCCUUUGACCAUGUCUGAGCAUAUGUUAUGAUGCAUGCUAGUGUAGCAAAUAUUUCUGUUGCAUAUGAUAAUCAGUACCGGUAAAUCAUUGAUGUUAUGUUACCGAUGGCUCCUCCGGAGCACAUGCAUUAAGCUUGAUCCUACCACCUAUGAGGGUCAUGCUAGUAUCAUGUUGACAAGUAAAGCUAGAGUAACAGUAGCAUGAGCAUAUUGUUGGUAUAAAUCAAAGAUUUAUGAAAACCCCGUCGGGUGCCACUAAUGCCCGAGGGUGAUGAUGAGUUAGGUGGCCACUUUUGGUGAAGUGGUGCACCGGCUAUUUCUGUGAGUAUGGUUUCGGAAAUGGGAUUAGAUUUAUGAUGUGUCGAUCGUCCGAACCUUACAUGUACAACCAUGUUACCUCUUAUGGGACGGGGUUGUGUUGAUUACUCUGGUUGGUGCUAGCAAAGAGCCACAUUACUAGUGGAGGGAGUGAUGAAUGGUCACUCUCGUGAUGGGGUCGUGCCAGGUAGGGUGACUAUGCCGUUUUUACGUGUUUCAGGCACACCGUUGGUCCCCGCAUGGUUGAUACUGUACAGAGUCGGUGCUCGUAAGAGAUAUAACAUGUGGGCUGGGUACCAAUCGAGUGGACCUCUUUGUCUAGUAUCAUCACGGGAAAGGCAUUGAUCGGGUACUUACCUCGGGUACCUUAUAUACCGCGAGUCGUGGAUGACACGGAAGUUUCCCGGAUCUCGUGGGUCCAGCAUACUACCUCUACAGAGUGUAAAACUAUUCGAAUAGCCGUGUCCAUGGUCAAGGAUAGUUGGGUAAUCCUGCUUAAACUACGUCCAGGCGUUUCCGCAUAAACCAAGUCUCGUGUGCGUGUGUGUUAAAUGGUCUUAAUAUGAAAGAUUUGAUAAGACCAAGUUUGGUGACUUGGCAUAUAGGGUGAACCCGGAAGGUUCAGCCCAUGACAGAUAUAUUGAUAUCUGUAACCUGUUCUUCAAAAUUAAUUCUUUAACUUGAUGCAUGCCUAUGAUCAUGUUUAUUUACUACCAAGAAGAAUUCCACCAAAGAUGCAUGCUAUUGUUAUCCUUCACUUUCAUUGUUCAUAUCAUGGGUUGUUUGCGAGUACAUUCAAAAGUACUCAUUGGCUUGCCACUGGUUAUAUUAUUGACCAUACAUGGAAGGACCGGAGUUUGGAGAUGAGUACGUCUUCGGAGACGCCCCAGCGAACUAGGACGCUUCCCAAUCAGAAUGCAUGUCGGUGCAGGCUUUAUGGCAUGGGCACCCGCUUAGCCCUAUGAUUUCCUCUAUUAGUUGUAUCAGUAUGAUUUGGCCUUAGGCCCUACCUUGUGAACUUGACCAUUCGGUCACGUCAUGUAAUAAUUCGUUACUUGGAUGUAAGACUCUUAUUAUUCAGUAUCUGUGUGUUCGGUGAGCAUUGAUCUCUGGGAUCACUGAGCAUGUUCAUUCGGCGAUCUCGACUCGUAAGUCGGGGUCCCCACAGAGCUGGUAUCAGAGCCAUCCUGACUAUAGGAAGCCUUAGGUAGCAUGGACGAUAGCCGAGACGACUAGUGCACAUAGAGCAUAACCUGAGAUUCUGCACCCACUAAAAAAUUUCUAACCCUCUCCGCUACAUCUUGUAGAUGGCUGUCGUACCUCAGACGCUUCUGGAGACGGGCUUUCCUCUACUUUUGAUUGAUAGCCUCGAGAAGUGCCAAGUACGCCGCACGCCCAUCUUCCUCUACCACGAGCACUGGGUCAACGCCGACACUAAGGAGUACCACGUACACAUGAUAGUGAAGGCAAAUGACUCCCCGACUAGCUGGUUCUUUGAAGGACCAAGAUGGAAGAUCUGAUGUUGGGAGUGGAGACAACAGCACGAGAGGCGCUCGUGCGACUCCGCGACAUCCUUCUCGAGAUGGCUAACGAGCCAGCUACUCGUCACCUACCCUUCAUUAAGGAUGGGAUAGACGGGAGUUGGACACUCAAUCCAUCUUCUGAGGACAGGACGCCACUGAGGUUUCAGACCUACUUCAGUCUCUCCUCCGACAGUCUGACGCACCUUUUGAUCAAAGAGUCAACAAAGAUUCGUCAAGAGCUGCACCAAGUCUAGGAUCUACUUCGCAUGGAGAAGAUGAAGAACCACAAAUGGUACUUUUCUAAGCACCACUUUGAGUACCAACAAACUUGGCAAACACAUUGCCAAUCUUAUCCUUCCCAAGAGAAUAGAUAUAAUCAAUAAUGAUUGGCUUGGAUAAACUACCUCUCGUGCAAGAAGAAGCGAAGUGAACCUUCUCACGACAUAAGUAGCAACAUCUACCCUUUGCUUUCUUCCCAAUUGAUUUCUCAACUUAAGGAGCGUUGGCUUGGGUCUUCUUGGGAAGAGGCAUUUCUUUAACUUGUAGUUGAGUACGUGAUUGAACUUGUGGCCGCUUCCGUUGUUGGUUGUGACUUUGGGGCUUAUUCUUUAAUCGAAAAGAUCUAACAUGAUGCCCUUGAAUUUUGCACUUGAAGCAAACAAUCUUGGCCGAAUUCUUGAGUUGUUCUUGGCCCUUCUUAUUGAAGCUUUUGGACUUCUUCUUCUUGUUGGAGUUGAAUCCAAGUCCACCUUUGUCAUUUGGGGAUUUUUGCCCACACAAGGUAUUGUUGAGUGUGUACAUCCCUUCAUGACUCUUUUCCAAGUCUUUCUUUAAGGAAGUGACUUGGGCCUUGAGCUCUUCGAUUUCCUAUACAUGGUUAGUAUCAACACAAGUACUAGAGAAAGUAUAAGCAUCAUUAUUAGAGCAACAAGGCAAGGAAAGUAAUUCAUCACAAGAUGUAGCAACAUUAUGAGUAGAUGAAUUACGAGGAUUAGCACAUGGAAAUAUAGUAUUUUAACUAGAAGUAGCGCUAAUGUCCACAUGAGGCUCACUUGAUGUUACCUGGGUAGUACUAGCCUCAUUAACUAAUUUUAGCACAUUAUGGGAUACUAGAAGAUCAUCAUGAGAGCUUGUGAGCAUUACAUGACUUUCUUUCAAUUUCACAUAAUUGCUACAUAGCAACUCAAGUUGAGCCCUUAGCUCAACAUUUUCCUUUAAAAUGGAUGCUUCACAAGAAAUAGAAUUAGUAGCACAAGCAUCAUCAUUAACAACAAGAGGAGAAGGCAACUUGACAAGCUCUUUAGCAUAAGAAGCUUCAAGUUGGGCAUAAGACUCGAUGAGUUCGAUGAGCGAACUCUUAAUAGCCCUUGAGCCAUUUUCGAGGUGCUCAUAGUCCUCAAGGAGUUUAGAAUGAGCACCUUCAAGCUUAUCAUUUUUAGUUCUAAAAUCAUUGGCCACCUCGAGGGCUCUAUCAUGGGAUUCCUUUAAUCUAGAUAAUUCUACAGCAAAGGUCUCCUCAAGAUAUUCCUUGGUGGCUUGUUCAUUUUCAAGAGCUUAGGAUAGCUCCUCUAUCUCAUUAGCGUAAUCACGCUCCUGACCUUCCAUUGUCUCAAUGGUGGCCUCAUGCUCCUUGAGAUGAGCUUCCAACUCCUGAGUGUAUUUCUUGCCCUCAGUGACAAGAGACAUGAUUUCCAUGAAGUUGGAACAAGCAAGUUUAUUCUUAUCAAGAGAUUUAAAAAUCAUUUCACCCUUAAAUUUUAAGGAUGCAAUAUUAUCACUCUUUUCAUCAUUAUCAUCAUCCUCAUUAUCAUUGUCAUCAUCAUCAUCAAGAGAUAUAUUGGGAUUCAAGGUAGGAGAUAACUUUGAAGCCUUAGCCAUAAGGCAAAAGUGAGUAACAAUAGAUGAUGAUGUAGGAUCCCUUGAAGCAUCAUUCAAGGCCACAUCUUGUUCUGUAGAGUGAAGGAUUUCCUCUAAAUUGUUAGCACAACAACUCAAGGAAAUAGAUACAUUUUAUAGAAAGCAUAUCAUCACGAGAUUUAGUCAAGCAGUUUUUACAUGGUAUGCAAGGACUAUCAACACAAGCAUGUAAAACAUUCAGAGUGUUCGAAGUGUUAAUGCCCAAAAAUGAAGCAUUGCAAUAAUAUAGUGUUGAAGGAUCAUCAACAAUAAGCCCACUAUCACCAUUGCAAUGAUCACCACUACUCACCAUAUCAUUACCUUGUGGCAAUCCACAUGUAGGUGAAGUAGAUGAAGUUGAGAAUACCACACGGCUGGAGGUGGAGGGAGAACAAUCAUUCCCACAAAUCUUGGACACACCAUAUUUAUCUUGAAGCUUUGUCCACGGCUCAUGAGCAUCCCGGAAUGGCAUGAGUUGAAAUAUAACUACAUUGCUCAAAGCAUCAAAAAGCACAUUAGAAGCUUGAGCAUUGAGAUAAGAGUUUUUAUCAUCCUCUAAAGAUAUACUUUGAGAAUCCUUUGGAGGAGAAAACUCCAUAUCUACAAUUCGCUCUAAAUUUGGGUCCAUGACCCUAAAGAGAUUAAACAUGUGAAUUACCCAAACAUCAAAAUAUAUGCCAUCGAAACUAAGAGUGUCAGAGAAUCCUAAUCCCCUAGUCGACAUCCUUACUCUCUAGGUGGUUAAACCUAAUAAUGCGAGACCUAGCUCUGAUACCAAUUGAAAGGACGUGGAUGUCCCCUAGAAAGGGGGGUGAAUAGGCGCUUUAAAAUAAUUAAAGUUUAGGCUUGAACAAAUGUGGAAUAAAAACUAAUGUUUAAUUUGUCAAGCCCAAAACCUAAAACAACUAGGCUCACCUAUGUGCACAAACAACUUAUGCUAAGCAAGAUAAACAACUAAGUGAUAGCAAGAUAUAUGACAAGAAACAAUAUGGCUAUCACAAGGUAAAGUGCAUAAGUAAAGGGUUCGGGUAAGAGAUAACCGAGGCACGUGGAGACGAUGAUGUAUCCCGAAGUUCACACCCUUGCGGAUGCUAAUCUCCGUUUGGAGAGGUUUGGAGGCACAAUGCUCCCCAAGAUACCACUAAGACCACCGUAAUCUCCUCAUGCCCUCGCACAAUGCAAGAUGUCGUGAUUCCACUAAAGGACCCUUGAGGGCGGUCACCGAACCCGUACAAACAAGGUUGGGGCAAUCUCCACAACUUAAUUGGAGGCUCCCAACAACACCACGAAGCUUCACCACAAUGGCAUAUGGCUUCGAGGUGACCACAAAUGCUCGGGGCAAUCUCCACAACUUAAUUGGAGACCCCGACGCUUGCCCGGAGCUUUACACCACAAUGAUUGAGCUCUGAGGCACCACCAAGCUUCUAGGAUGCCAAUGCAUCCAUGAAGAACAAUCUCUAGGGGUACCAAGUACCUAAGGCUAAUAAGCUUCUCAACUUCUCACUUCCACGUAUCACCGUGGACAACUCAAACCGAUGCAACUAAUGCAAUGGAAAGAACACACGAAGUGGUCAAGUCCCUCACACAAACAUUUCUCCACAACAACAAAAGCUAUGGAGAAAUAUGAGAGGAAGAACAAGGAGCUCCCAAAGAACUCCAAGAUCAAGAUCCAAGGGCUUCCCCUCACAUAGAGGAGAAAGUGAUUGGUGAAGAUGUGGAUCUAGAUCUCCUCUCUCUUUUCCCUCAAGAACUAGCAAGAAUCAUUGGAGGGAUUGAGAGUUAGCAAGCUCUAAGAAGGUCGACAAUGGGGAAGAACACGAACUCAACUAAUGGAUUAGGUCCAAAGGGGAAGAAGACCCCCUUUAUAUAGUGGAGGAAAGAAUCUGACCGUUACCCCCACUCACAGCCCGAGCAGAGCGGUACACCCGCUGCUACGAGUGGUACUACCGCACGGUAGGCUCACCAACCACGGUAGUAAAACAUUACUACCAUGACUACCGCCGUUGAGGUUGUAGAUGCGAAGAAAGUCCGAGGGAGCGGUACUACUGCCAGAGAGCGGUAGUAAAAAACUACUACCGCUCCAGGAGCGGUACUACCGUUGUGCCUCGGGUACUACCGCUGGUCACUGAAACCGCCAUAACUUUCGCAUCCGAGCUCCGAAUCGAGCAAACUCAAGCUUGUUGGAUUCAGGAUGACAAGAGCUAUCAUGUACCUUGUCGAACGAUACAAGCUCUUAACGAACGAUACGAUCAAGCUACUCAGUUGAGAGCCCCCUUGACAGUACGGCAGUCUAUCCUAAAAAUAGAGAAACCUAUCAAUGCCAAACAUGUACCUUGCACCUAGUCCUCUUGGGCUAGAUGACGAUGAUCUUGGCUUCCUCAAGAUGGACCAGCUCUCUUGAUUGUGUUGGUUUGAUGAGGACUAGUUGAUUGCUCCCCCAUACUCACUAUGGGUGAGCCACUCUUCAGCACAUAUUCACAAGUCCAUUGCCACCACAAUGGACGGCAAGCUUCAAGCAUGAUAUCUUCAUGAUGCUCCACCUAAACUUGCACACCGCAAUCUUGAUGACGAUCACCACUUGAUGUCAUCAUUCAUAGGUUGAAUGAGAUCUCCCUCUUGAUGCAAACCAUGGAAACACACCUAUGCCCACAUAGAACUCUCACGAAGACCAUGGGUUAGUACACAAAAGUGUUAUGGAUAAUGUUUAUCAUGCCAUGGGAUCACUUGUUCCCUCUCGGUACAUCUUGUACCCUUUACGUGUUGAUCAUCUUGAUUUACUCUUUGUUUUAGUCUUGAUCAACCUUGUGUCUUUAUGACCAUUCUUUAGAUAAUACCUUGAAUGCCACCUUGGGCAUCAUAUAAACUCCUUGAAACCAACAGAUGGACUUCAAGAAGUGCCUAUGGACAAAUCCUUCGAAUAUAACUUGAGGCACCAUUAGUCCAUAGGGAUUAUCAUCAAUUACCAAAACCACAUAUGGAGAAAUAUGCUCUACAGUAAGGCAUGCAAUCUAUCCAUGCAAUGAUGGGCAAAGAGUUGCGCCUGAUGUGGUAACAAUUAAAUUGAUUAUUGAAGUGUAAGGCCAGAGCAUUAGAUAAAGCAGAGUUGGCCCUACUAUAAAAUUGUAGAUAUGUUGUUUGACAAGAGUUGGGAUAAGGCCAGGCGUCAGUUUCGUGUUGGGGUCAUAUUUGUUACACUAUAUGUUGAUUGCACUAGCCCUUUCCAUCAGUUUGGACCUUUGAUUGCGUUGGCUAGUGCAGGAAGCUUAACAUGGUAUCUUGAGUUCAAGUCCUGGCUUUCGUAAUUUACUUAAAAAAAUUGGUAGCCCCCCUUUGUGUCCACAUAGAGACCUCUUAAGUCAUACAUGAGUUUUGCCCGCCAUCGCUCUCUUCCGGUUGCACGUGUUGACUUGACAAUAUUAUCCUUAGUUUUAUUUAAACUUGACAACAAGAGUUAUAUGUUUGAGUGUAAUGCUUCUUAGUUGGGGCUUGUAGAAUGUUUAUCUACUAGACUAAAAUGUCAAAUUUCUUGUGGGCCAUGAACAAAGUCUAAAUUGCAUUGAGAUUGUUUAGAUAAUAUGUGUUAUCCAAAUUUUUUCCCCUGUUUAUUGGGUCCUUGGUUGGUUGCCUCUGCCGUUUCUCUCUUGGUCUCCUUGUUUUGUCGUACGUGGUUCAGACUGCUCCUAUUUAUGAGGCCCUUUGAACGGGGGAAGCCAUUACGCUGGCCUGAUCUUUACGAUUGGAGGUGGGUUCAUAGAUGAGGAUGGAGAAAUAGGAAAAUAAGAGGAACAUAAGAGGAAACAAACAUAAAUCUAAGGUUCACCACCAAUAUCAACUCAUAUGACAACUCAAUAUAAGAGGUAGUGCCUAUUAUAUCCAAGAAAAAACAAAAGAAAGAGAGAACAAAAAGAGAGUUCAUCCCCAAAUCCAAAGGAAGAGGAGGUAUUGAAUUUCGUUGGAAUCUUCUCCAAUUGGAGGGCACGAUCACUCCAAUGGAGUCUUCUCCCUUGGGACGCCUUGAUUCCGCAAGUGCUAGAUAGAUCGAGCAAGCUAAUCUCAAGUAGUGGCCAGUUUUGUUAACUCAUUACCUUUGAUCCAUUUUGGAUUGUAGUAAUAUCCUUCUUCCCUAGAGACCUGGGAUUCAUUCAAUCCAGGAAGUGAUUAAGCUAUGCAAGGUUACUUCUAACAAGCCAUUGUUUUGUUAUCACAUAACAUUUUUGUCCCCAUACCAACACAAACAUGAAAUCACAGUGGUCGUAAAUAAAAAACGAAACAAAUCAGAGCAGAGAUGAAAGUGCAUUUGACCCUAAAUGGUGUUUUUGGUGUACUAAGUGCGGUUAGUGGGACUAAUGACAAUUACUAAGUUUAUCUCAGGUAAUGGUCCCUCUGAGGCUAUUUUAAAGGAGAUGGUUAACCCCCCACUUCAGAAAGAAGAAAGAAAUGUGGUUCUUCGAUGACUUAAAAUUUUGUUUUGGUUUCUUUGAGUCGUAGGAUCAACGCACUAUUAAGAGGGCCGAGAUGCUCAGAUGACAAGGGCGGGAAUAUGCAAAAACAUAUAUACCAGCUCUUCCAAUUUCAUCCACCAUAAAAAUGUCAAAUUCUUCUUCAGGAUGUCCCAUUCAUUGGAUUGUUAGGAAAUAUGCAACUUCUAUUUCCAGGAGGCCAUAGGACAGUAUAUAUACAUGUACAAGUGUGUAGAAUAUGCAGGAAACCCUUAUACAAUAGGGUAAAUACAAAAGGUUACAUGACUAUAUAUAUAGUACUCUAACAGCCCCCUCAAACUCAUGGUGGAUGAACAACAUUGAGUUUGGAGCGAAAGAAGCCAUGAUGCGCUCUAGUCUUGCCCUUCGUCAGAAAAUCCGCCAACUGUAACUCGAAUGCACAUACUCAAGAGCAAUAGCGUGAUCAUGCACACCAGCGCGCACAUAAAAAGCAUCAACACCAAUAUGCUUGGUGAGCUCAUGCUUUACAGGAUUGUGCACGAUGCUAAUAGCACAUGUACUGUCAGAUAAUAGCAUAGUAGGUGUAGUGACAGAAACAUCAAAUUCCUGAAGUAACCACCGUAACCAAGUCACCUCUGCCGUCAAAAGAGCCAUAGCUCGUAACUCAGCAUGUGCACUCGAACGGGAAACUGCAGUCUGUUUCUUCGUCUUCCAGGCAAUGAGAGAACCACCAAGAAAACACACGCAAAAAGUGAACGGCAAUCUGAGGGAUCACUAGCCCACGUAGCAUCUGAAUAGGCCUCAAGCUGUAAAGAACUGGACCGAGGAAAUAAUAGACGGCAAGAGAUCAUGCCCUGAAGUUAUCGGAGAACACGAAGGAGGUGACUAUAGUGAACCGAAGUGGGAGCGGAGACAAACUGACUCAGAAUAUGAACCGGAUAAGAGAUAUCCAGACGAGUGACAACUAGAUAGACAAGACUGCCAACAAGAUGACGAUAACACGUCGGAUCAGGCAGGGGGGUCACCAUCAGUAUCACGGAGGUGAACAUUGAGCUCCAUGGGAGUCUCAACAAUGCGUUCAUCAGUAAGAGCAGCACGAGCAAGAAGAUCCUGGAUAUACUUUUCCUGAGAAAUAGAAAAUCUAUCAGAGGUAGAAUAGACUUCAAUCCCAAGAAAGUAGUGAAGAGGUCCAAGAUCGGACAUAAGAAACUGCUCACUAAGACAGGCAUUUACAAAGGCAAUAUACUCGGGGUCAUCGCCACUGAUGAUCAUGUCAUCGACAUAUAGAAGUAGAAGAGUCCGACCACGAGGUGAAAGAUGGACAAACAAUGUUGGAUCAUGAGCACUCGCUGAAAAACCAACGACAGUCAGCACGGAAGCAAAACGGUGAAACGAGGCACGGGGGCUUGCUUAAGACCAUAGGGAGAGCGACGAAGAGGACAUACCAUGCCAUCAGGAAUAGAAUACCCGGGUGGUGGCUGCAUAUAUACUUCCUCACGCAGCUCACAUAGGAGCAAAAGUCUCGUCGUAAUCACGAUCAUGCUCCUCCUGAAAACCACGAGUCACAAGACGAGCUUUGUAACGCUCAGGAGAACCAUCGGAGCGAGUCUUAACCUUGUAGACCCACUUGCAAGUGAUGGGAUGGACACUUGGAGGAAGAGAAAUAAGAUCCCGUAUAUCGGUGCGUUCAAGAGCAGCAAUCUCCUCUGCCAUCGCAAACUACCAUUUAGGAUGAACAAUAGCCUCACGAUAUGAAGUCGGCUCAAGAACAACAGUACCGGCGGUUGAAAAACCAAGGCGAUCAAUAGGCGGAAGCGAACGAGGACGCAGGCCAUAUGUAGGCUGAGAGGAGGAGGACGACAUAUCAGUAGACACAUCCACAUUACGUGAACGACGAGUAUAAUGCUGAGGAAAAGAUGGAAGAAUACGAGGAGGAUUCGUCGAGAUAGAAUCAGGGGGUGGAGACGAAGAAGUCACUUGGAAGGAAGGAGCAGAAUCCGGUGAUAAGUGAGGUGUGGAGACCAUGGUAGAUGAUGGCGUCGAAUCUGCAACAGUCAGAGAAGCAGGGAGAGUAGGACGGAUGGGCAAGGGCUCAACAAGAGUGAUAGGUGUGUUAGGAAAAGCGAGGAAAGAUAUAUCCUCCACUGCAAAGGUUGAGGAAGAUGGACGCGGGUAGAAGGGACAAGACUCAUUAAAAGUCACAUCGCGAGAAAUACGCAUCCGACGACCGACAUGAUCCAACAACGAUAUCCCUUAUGCUCAUCGCUAUAACCUAAGAAGACACACUCAACUGAUUGAGCGGAUAGUUUGGUGCGUUCAUGAGGGGCAAGAAGAACAUAGAAAACACAACCAAACAAACGAAGUGCCGAGUAAUCGAGAGAACGAUCAAAGAGACGCUCGAAAGGAACGCCACCAUGUAAAGCACUGGACGGCUGAAGGUUGAUGAGAUAUGUGGAAGUGGAAACAACCUCAGCCCAAAAGUGAGGCGGAAGAGAGGCGGCGAUUAUCAUCGCACGAGCCGUCUCAAGAAGGUCACGAUGCUUGCACUUAGUCACGCCAUUCUGAGCAUGAGCACCGGGACUAGAGAACUGAGCAAGAGUACCUUGCUCAGCGAGAAAUCCACGCAACAUCUUGGAGAUAUACUCUCGAGCAGAGUCAGCACGGAACACACGAAUAGGCGUGUGUCGAGAGAAAUCAUCUAUAAAGAUAAUAUAGUAGCGAUGGCAUCCCUUUGAGGCAAAGGGAGUUGGACCCCAGACAUCAGAGUGAACAAGGUCAAAGGGACGCGGAGACAUAGUCUCGCUAUGAGGAUAUGGUAACUGAACCUGUUUACCAAGCCAGCAACCCUGAUAGUCUAAAGACACGCCGCCAGAGAUGGAUCCAAGAAGACCACGUCGAACUAAGGAUGGGAGACGAGAGCCACAUAAGUGACCCAGACGAUGAUGCCACUUGUAAGAAAAGCUGGUAGACAAGGCAACCGAGGCGGAGAGACUGGCGGCGGUGGCAAUGGAUGGAAGGUGAAGCCAGUCAAGCUCCCAGAGAUCCUGAGAGUCACGAUGUCGGGGGGCAGCUCCAAGAAGAGCACCCGUGUGACGGUCCAGAACGGAACAUGAGUCAAAGUCGAGAAUGACUCUGCAACCACAGUCAACAAUCUGACCACCAGAAAUGAGUUGCUUGGUAAGUCGAGGAACAUGAGGAAUAUCAGGAACAUGAAAGGAUGAGGUGCUAAGAAUGCCUCGACCAUGAAUCGGGAGGGAGGUACCAUCAGCAGUAAGAACAUGAACAAGAAAAUCAAGAGGUCAAGUAGAUGACUGAGUGGAUGAAUCAUGAGUCAUAUGAAAACAUGCUCCGAUAUCAAGAAUCCAUGGAGAUGUACCUGCUUGUGUAGAAGGUGGUCUCACAUUGCGAGAAGAGUCCAUAACAGAACCAACAGAACAUGUCGAUGAAGAACCAGAAGAUGGAGCUAGCAGGCAUCGAAAUUGCACAAUCUCCUGCUGAGUUGGGGGUGCAACCGAAGAUGUCGAUGUAGAUGCACCCGACAAUAGAAUCGGAGGCAAUAAGUAGGCGUGUAAGUCGCGCAAUCUCCUCCUCGGUGAAGUACACAACUGAAGUAGGCGACGUAGUGGCACUGGGACAGAAGCAGCCACCACCACCUAUGGAAGCCGCUAAAUGUGCGCAAUCAAUGGAGUCAUACGCACCAGUACAACCGGAGAAAGCCGCGAGAGGUGUCGGGGAAGAGCGACAUUCACUGAUGAAAGUCGCGAGAGGAGUCGAUGUAGAGCGGCAAUCAUCACACGUGGAGCUCGCAGGAGGAGCAGUAGUAGAGCUACCAGUCGCGAGAGAAGUCGAUGUAGAGCGACAAUCAUCACACGUGGAGCUCGCAGGAGGAGGAUCAGUAGAGCUACCAGCACAACCUGCGGAAUACACCGAAGGGGAUGUCGGUAUGGAUGAACGAGCAUCAAGCGCCAAGGAACAACCCAGAUGCAAGACGGGAGCAGUAAAGAAAACACUGUCAGGAGUCACUGGCAGCAAGGGACAUGCAGACCCGAUGAAAACAUCUCUCUUUUUUGGGGGCAACAAUAAUACCGCACGGGAAUCGGGUAGCACUCGCACGCGUCAACAAGGAGGGCCUGCAAUUGGCAGCAGGCCUUAGCAGAUCUAGCGGCUGCUAUGAGGGUGGCGGCGGGAUCCGGCUCCUGGCAGUCGGAGGAGACCGAGCGGCGGGAUCCAGCGGCCGGAGGAGCAGAGGAGCAGCCGAAGAAGACGGAUCCGACGGCCGGAGGAGCAGAGGAACGGAGGAGCAGCGGGAUCCGGUGGUCGAAGGAGCGGAGCACGGAGGGGAUCCGGCGGCUCAAGGAGCAGAGGACGGUGGCUAACGGAAUCGGCGACUGGCGACGGGAUCCGAUGAGAGACGAUGGCCUGGCGACGGGAUCCUGCGAGAACAGAAGCCAGGGGCCAGCAGACGCAGACGACGCGGAUGAGGCGCGGGCUGAUCUAGAAGAGGAGGAUGCCGACGGUCGACCAGAGAGAGAAGCACGUGAGCAAUCGGCCGAAGAACAGCAGCGGUAACCGACGCAACAAAUUGGAUCGAAAAAGCACGAGUUGCGCGUGCGAAAAAAAAGCCUAGGGCUCUAAUACCAUGUUAGGAAAUAUGCAACUUGUAUUUCCGGGAGGCCAUAGGCGAGUAUAUAUACAUGUACAUGUGUGUAGAAUAUGCAGGAAACACCUUAUACAAUAGGGUAAAUACAAAAGGUUACAUGGCUAUAUAUAUAGUACUCUAACAUGGAUAUCCCGUGCACACAGGAUACAAGGGUCGUGCACACGGGGCUAGUGUCUACUCUUUGGACACCCCGUGCACACGGACCUCCUGUCUCACUUGCACGCAAGGUUGGGGUUGAAACUCUCUCGACACGCCAUGCACACGGGGCAGUGUUGUUUUGCCUCUAGACACCCGUGCGCACAUGAUAGAGUGGUUUCACACCUCGUGCACAUGGGGUCGUGUAAGGUAGCUCUCGAUUUGGGAACUGGACUAGGGUUAAUGGUGAAUUUGAGUGGCAUGUGUUUCCUCCCAACCUCCCUCAGAGCGAGUUCGAAUUGCCGAGAAUAGGUUCGGCUAAAGCCGCCAUCCAAAUCCAGCCAACCUCCCGAGAUGUUACAGAGUGGUAUUUAAACUAAGUACGCCACUCUGGGCCGGUGUUCCAUUUGGGUCGCGAAGCGUUGCGCACGGGCCGAUCUUCUGGGCCACCCGCAGGUUCAAACCUUGGCGCUCUCUUGUCCCGCCCCGAUCAAUGAGGAAGUCUUCUGGUGUCGUCGCUGUCGUUGCAGCCUCCCGAGCUUCAGUUAACGCCUUCUUCGUAUUGGCCUCCCGAGAAUCGGCUUGUCCCUAAGCCGGUGCACGGGGAAACUGUUGUUUUAGGAACUCAAUAUAUUCCCAUGUAGCAUCCUCCAAAGACGAUCCUCACCAUUUGACCCAAGCUUGAGCCACCGUCUUACUGCCUGUUUGUCGCAUCCGACUUUGCAAGAUCUGAACAGGAAAUGGCAGGGCAACAUGAUGAGAUGGCAAACAGGACUACACACUUGUUUCACGAGGAAGAAAAUGCUUAAGCUGACACACAUGAAAAAAUGGAUGAAUACGACUGCCCCCCGGAAGAUCCAACAUGUAAGCUACUUCUCCAAUCUUUUCCACAAUCGGAAAUGGCCCAAAGAACUUGAAUGCUAACUUCUGAUUCCUCCUGGAAUAAACUGAAAGUUGAGCAUAUCGUUGCAGUUUGAGGAAAACUGGGUCACCAACCUGAAAGGACCUCUCGGUUCUAUUUUGUGAUCUUGACUUUUCAUUUGUUGUUGUGCCCUCAGCAAAUGUUGCCUAGCUGUCUCAGUCACCAAUCGCCUUGACUACAUCCAUUCCUGCAUUUUCACUUGAGCAAUAGUAUCUGAUUCACUGAUACCAAAAUAUCUGGGUGUAUAACCAUACAAUACUUCAAAAGGAGAUUUUCCCAAAGGAGAAUGCCAGUUGGAUUUGUACCAAAAUUCACAUAGUGGCGACCAUUUUCUUCACUUAUGAGGCUGAGCACUGAUGAAAACAUCUGAGGUAACAUUUAAUCUCUUGAUUGAGCAUUUCUAUUUGACCAUCAGUUUCAGGAUGAUUAGCAGUACUCAUGUUCAACUGAGUAACAGUCCUAUUGAUCAACAUCUUCCAAAACUGACUACUGAAAAGUGGAUCCCUGUCAAAUAUAAUCACCUUGGGCAACCCAUGCAACUUAUACACAUUAUCCAAGAAUACUUCAGCAACUUUCUCGGUAGUAAAAGGAUGCUUCAGAGCUAUGAAAUGCCCAUAUUUUGUGAAUUUGUCUAUCACUACCAGAAUGCAAAUAUAUUGAGAAGAAGUAGGAAGGCCACUAAUGAAAUCCAUAGAAACAGUCUCCCAUGCUUUUCUUGGAACUGACAAUGGAGACAAAAGGUCAGGAUAUGACACUCUCUCUGGUUUACCCAUCUGACAAAUCAGACAAGACUGUACCUGAACUAAAAAAAUCUUCAUUCCGGACCAAGAAAAAAAAUGCAUUGAUUCUCUUAUAAGUAACUGGGAAUCCAGAGUGACCACCCAUAGGACUAUCAUGAAAACCAAUUAAGUUUGUAGAACGCCCCCCACCCCCACCCCGCGCGAGCGACUCGGCGCUAACCCUAGCCGUCGGCCAAUUCCCACACUUCCCCCUCCCCUCCCUCGCCGUCGGGCAAAGCCAACAAGGUAUAGGCGGCGGCGGGUCUCUACUCCCCUCGCGUGUGGUUCGGGCUGUGCGGGGAGACCGGCUGCACCAAGAUGUUCGCGCGGCGUGGUGAGCUUGAGCCGGUGGCUGCGGUGGGCGAGCGGAGAGGCGCACGGAUGAGCGAAGUGUGCGUGAGCGGUUGUUGCUCGAGGGAGCGACGCUGUGGCGGCCUUCAGAUCCGAGGAGACGCGGGCGCGCAAGGUGCCUGACAUCGCUCAGCACGGACUUGCGACGUACACGCUGCGAGAGGUGCGCGGUCGGCGCCCCCGGCUUGGAUCUGCUGGGUGGCGGCAUGAAGACUCGGGUGGCCGAGUGUCACGCGGUUGCUGCGUCGCGAACACGCCGACCGGCAAGGCGGGUGUGCAGGGCUCGUGCUCGAUCUGGGUUCGCGGAGGCUGGGCGCAGCGAGCUGGCUCCGACGGAAGCGACAGGCACGCGCGGGCUCGCGACGCGCGAGAGCAUUCAGCUGCAGGGGAACACAGCAAGUGGAGGUUGCGACUUGGCGUGGUGGCCAGAUUCAGGGGCUAUGCUCAGGCGCCGCUCCGGCACAGACCUGCGGUGUGCCGGUCAUGGGAGGCGCGUGUAGAGCUCUGAGGAUAGUAGAUCUGGCGCAUAGGAGCCCUGCUGGGUGGGGGAGCUCCAGGCAGCGCGGAUCUGGCGCCUAGUGAACGCCGCUGGUUUGCACGCGGUGUUGGCGGUUUCGGCAGAGCGGCGGUGGUCGUUGUGGUGGGCGUGGUGCGACGGCUUGACUGCUUGGCAGGUCGUCCAUGGCUGGCGGCCCGGAAGGGGUACGAUCGGCUGCUGGUGGUGCCCGGGUGCCGCUUGUUGGAGCAGGGAGGCUCCGGCAGCAGUUGGAUGCGGGGUGUAGGGGCCGAUCUGGUGUGUGCAGGCCUGUCAUUGAGGAGGCUAGCUCGUGGCCCAGCACAGCGGUGGCGCGCUUGCUGUGUGGGUAGUGCACGGUCCAAUGAAGGAAUGGGUCGACCUCGGCCUGAUGCGUGGGAGUGGCUGCCCUGGGUGAAAGCCUGGCCGAUGUUGGUCGGUCGGCGGUGAAGGCGCCCAUGGGCGUCAUGUAUCCUCCUUGGAGGUAUUGUCGGGAAUUUUCACAACCGAUGCUCCCGGAUCAGUUUCUUCGAGUGAAAGCCUAGAUCAUGCUGUAGGAUCGGGCGGUGGCGUCGUCUUCAACGUCGUUCCCCUCUUUAGCGCGCGUCUUGAAGACUUUUAUCCAACUGUUGUUUCCACGACUGGACGUGCAUAAUGGCUUAUGUGGCAACAAUGACGGUGGUGAGCAAUUUGAAGGCGUGGUCUUGGUUGUGGUAGUCGGCUCCUCUUCUCCGUUGUGUCUGUGGGAGAGCCUCGAUUGUCCGUUGUUGUGAAGUGGAAGCCGCGGUAGAGGGCCAGUGGUUCAUUCGAUCAUCCUCCAUGACGCCAACCUCGCCUAGUUUCCUCCAUGUUCACCGUUGGAGUUGGAGUUGCGUUGUCUAGUAUGGUUUGUAUGGAGUGUUCUGAUGCAACUAUUAGGGUUGUCGUUUUUCUUUUUCUUUGAUCUUCGGAUCUUCUAGUCCUAUGACCUUCACCAUCUUGUUUUUUCCAUUGCUUCCUUCUAUUAUCAAUGAAUGCCAGCUAUGCUGGAUCUGUCAAAAAAAUCAUGAAAAGCUACAAAAAUCUUGUGAUGUAAUUCAAGAACAUGGCCUAUCCAUAUACUAUUUAUAUUUCAAUAAUCUAUUAAACAAAGUAUAUGGUGGUUUGGAAACUGGUUCAAUAGCUAAUUGUUGCAAAAUUGCUAAGGCUUUUUCAUCCUUCUCAUUGCUAGCUAUGAACUCAGCCAUCCAAGUUGGUUGAUUAUUUGAUAUUGAGAAUAAUUGAGAACCAUCAGGAGGUCUCCUAGACAAAGCAUCAGUUGCACUGUUCUCUUUACCUUGUUUAUAUUGGAUUUGAUAAUUUAAUCCUCGCAACUUAGUAAGGCAUUUAUGUUGCCAAACUGUAUGCAACCUUUGGUCCUGCAAAUGAGCCAAGCUUCUUUGAUCUGUUAUAAAAAUAAACAGUUGCACUUGCAAAGAAGGCCUCCACUUAUCUACUGCUAGUAAAAUAGCCAGAUAUUCUUUCUCAUAAGCUGAUAGAGGUCUGUUCUUUGGACCCAAAGUCUUGCUAACAAAAGCUAGUGGGUGUCACUGCUGCAUUAAAACUGCACCAAUGCCAUAAUCACAAGCAAGACAAAAGGAAUACCCUUCUUAAGCAGAUCAGUCAAUGGUCUGGCAAUAAUGCCAUAAUGCUGAAUGAAUUUCCUGUAGUAGACACUUAAUCCAAGGAAUCCCCUCACUUCCUUGACAUUCUUUGGAACGGGCCAAUGCUGAACAACUAAAAUCUUGUUAGGAUCAGUGGAGACACCCUCUUCAGAUAUAACAUGCCCCACAUAAGCUAUCUUUGGUUGAGCAAAGUCACAUUUUGACAUUUUCACUUUCCAUUGUUCUUUGUGUAAGAUAGACAACACCUCAUCCAAGUGGUCCCAAUGUUCUGUCAGUGUUUUACUGAAUACCAAUAUAUCAUCAAAGAAUACCACUUCACACUUCCUCAAAACAGGUGCAAGAUCAUAGUUCAUUGUCCCUUGGAAUGUACUUGCUGCCCCUAUUAACCCCAUCCCCGUCACAUUGAAUUCAUAGUGUCCAUUGUGAGUCUGGAAUGUUGUCUUAUACUCUUCACCAGGUGCUAAUCUUAUUUGAUGAUAUCCAGCUUUGAGAUCCAAUUUGGAAAACCAACAUGCUCCUGCCAAUUCAUCCAAAAGUUCAUCUAUGAUAGGCAUUGGAUAUUUACUUUUCAAUAUAAUAGCAUUGAGUUGCUUGUAAUCAAUCACCAUUCUCCAAGCUCCUUCUUGUUUCUUUUUAACUAGCAAUACAGGAGAAGAGAAAGCACUCUUACUAUGCCUGAUCAUUCCUGAGUCCAACAUCUCCUUGAUUUGUUUCUCUAGUUCAUCCUUUAAGUUUGGAGCAAUUCUGUAAGGUCGAACAGAUACUGGUCUAGCCCCUGGAAUCAAUGGAAUAGUAUGAUCCUUGAGUCUUCUAGGGGGUAAUGUAGUUGGAGUUUCAAACACCACAACAUGUUUAUCCAACAAAACUUGCAACUCUGGAUGUUGGACUUGCUUCUCAACAGGCCUCAACAAGGAAAUAGAAAAAAAAUGUGACAACAACAUCUUCAGGUAACAAUCCUUGUAAAGUGACCACUCUGCCUUGAUAAGGAAAGGACAUUUACUUUUGUACCCAAUCAACUUGCAUGGGACUGUGCCCAGCAAGCCAAUCUAGCCCAAUUAUUCCAUCAUAAGUGGCUAAGGGUAACAGACUAAAGUCACUGGUGAACUGAACUGAUCCACAUGUCCAAGAGUUCGUUGACAAAAUUGAAUCACAUUGUAAUGUACCUCCACCAGCUACAGCUACUGAAUAGGGGAAGUCUUCUGCACAUUGGUGAGUCUAUUUUGCAAAGCACUGUCUAUAAAAGAAUGUGUACUACCCGAGUCCACCAGGAAGAUCAGCUCCAUCCCUUGCACCUCAAUCCGCAAUUGCAUAGUUGGUUCAUUGGACUGUUUUCCCACAGCGGCAGCAGAUAAAUGCAUACUACACACAGACAUUUGCUAUUGAUCACUUGUAGGAGAUAUGACCACUUCUUCCGAUUGGAUGUGAUCAAUCGGUUCCUGAACCACAUGUAACUGAACUGAUGAUUUACACACAUGAUGUUUAGACCAUCUCUCACCACACACAAAAUAGAGCCCCUUGGACUUACGAUAAGCACGCAAAGUAGACCACUUAUCAUCAGAUGCUACAGUUUUCACAGGUUUAGAUGACCUCUUAUCAAAGUGGAAAUGGACCUGCUCGUUAUCUGGUUGGAGUAUUCAAAGGUGUUGUGCCUCCACCAAGCUCCUCAUGUAAUAGUGCUAAAUCAUAAGUUGAAUCCAAGUACUUGGGCUUCUAAAGAGCAACUGCAACACGAACACCAUGCUUCAGACCAUCAAGGAAUCAAGUGGUGUAAUGCAGAUGAUUAGGUGCUUCUUCAAAAGCUGACAAGUGAUCAUACAAAUCAGCAAAACCGAUCCACAUAAUCAACAACAGUGCCAGUUUGUACGAAACAAUUGGCGGAGAAGAGUCUAGUGCUAGUUCCUGCCAAAUCGACUCUGCAGGCUUGAACAAAAUUCAGACCAGGAAGCUUGUGGACAUCUGUGUUGCAUGGUUUCAAGCCAAUGAGCAGUAGCACCUUCAAACUAGGAUGUUGCUAACGAAACCCACCGAUGUUGAGGAGUACACCAGAGCUUGAACUGAUCCACACAUCGAUUUUGCCACAAACGAGGAUUCACACCAUCAAAUCGAGGAAGAUCCACCCACACACCAAACGAUAACGCAUCAGCAGCAUCAGGGUAAUUUGCAUCAUGUGCAGAAGGAGAUCGAACAAGGAAGACUGAAUCAUGCGCACCUUUGAUCGGAGGAGGGACAUACGCAGUAUGUGCCUUCCCCCGGUAAUCCUGGUCAAAGCCAAGGGAGUUGGCAGCAGGAUUGCGGCCACUCCCAGCAAGACGAGAAGCCGAAGCCUCCCCGCGCCUUGGUGCUUCCCUCUGCCAUUCGCCGCGGAUGGCCUCAAGUUCGAGGGCGAGCUCCUCACGCACCCCGUCAACAGGAGCUGUCAACAACCCGUCGAGCGUGGCUGUGUUGGCUUGGAUGAGGUUGUUGACUGCUUGUAAGAGGUUCUCACCAUGAUCCUUGAAGCGUUGAUCCAGAUCGGCGGUGAAAUCUGCCCGUAGCAGUGAAUAUACGUCAUGCCCCUCGUCAGACAGGUUGUCCAUCGCCGCCAAUCACGCCACCGCAUCGCGUACUGGUGCCUUGGCAACUCCAGGACCACUGAAUCUAAUACCAAGUGUAAGGUAGCUCUCGAUUUGGGAAUUGGACUAGGGUUAGUGGUGAAUUCGAGUGGCGUGUGUUUCCACCCAACCUCCCUCAUAGCCAACCUCCCUGAGACGUUACAAAGUGGUAUUUAAACUAAGUACGCCACUCUAGGCCGGUGUUCCACUUGGGCCCCGAAGCGUUGCGCGCGGGCCGAUCUUCUGGGCCAUCCGCGAGUUCAAAACUUGGCGCUCUCUUGUCCCGCGCCGGAUCAGUGACGAAGUCUUCUGUUGUCGUCGAUGUCGUUGCAAUCUCCCAACCUUCAGUUAACGCCUUCUUUGUAUUGGCACUGCUGACACGUCCUCAGUCAGCCAACGACUACAUCUUGAAGAGGGUAUAAAACUGCCCUUCUCCUACCUUCAAACCUAACCCUAAUGUUUUGUGAGUCUACCGCCAUUGCUACCACACAGUAUCCACAAGCAGCACUGCGGGCGUGACGCUGACACCCCCUUGCGUCGUCUCUCGCCUAGUCCUGGACACGCUCUGCGUCAUAGCCUUGUCGCUCCCAUCAUGGACGCACCUGUUCCCAUCCAUGUCGGUCGACAUAGUGAGCACCACCCCUGGCACCGGUUGGGAAUCACCGUCUCCGCACUCUCCAUAUCAGCCAGAAGCAUCGGCUGGACCUAAUGCACACCUACACACACACACCCGUGGGCACCAUUGCAGUCAAGUGCGGCCGCCAUUAAUGGCGCAACCCGAGCGACAGGUCAGGACAACCGCCUGGCCAGCUAUAAAAAGGGCCCCUCCCCCUUGGNNNNNNNNNNNNNNNNNNNNNNNNNNNNNNNNNNNNNNNNNNNNNNNNNNNNNNNNNNNNNNNNNNNNNNNNNNNNNNNNNNNNNNNNNNNNNNNNNNNNNNNNNNNNNNNNNNNNNNNNNNNNNNNNNNNNNNNNNNNNNNNNNNNNNNNNNNNNNNNNNNNNNNNGCCCCUCCCCCUUGGCUCAAAGCACCCGGCUCCUCUCCUACCUCCCAAUUGAGGCUUUGUAGUUGGAGAAGCUUUGUGGUACCAACCAUUCGAAUCAAUCGAGGUCUGAGCCGACAUGACUCUCAACUCUGGUAGCUCCCUCUCUCCAUUCCCGGUCGACCAAGCGAGAGCUGAAGUCGUACCCUGAGCCUGGAGCCUAAUGCACGCCUUCGUGCGCGCUUUUCUCUCCUACACAGUGCUCCUAGAUGGCGAGCCCUUGCCAUGCCGCUAAAGUUGAAGGCGACGAUGCAUUCAUGCGACUCCGGCCACAUGUAGCACAGGGCCCACAAGCCUUUGAAGCCCCGACCCAUCUGCACCACCCCCGAGCACUGCCGCUUCCUGAUGCUCCGGCUAUUGCCGCGCUGGUGAGCUCCACCCUCGGUCUUUGUUCUGCUUAGGAUACCCCUUCGGUUUAAUUUAAGUAAGGCUCAAUGGCGAAUCCAAGGGCCACACUUUGGAUGGCUUGAGCCUACCCUCCAAAAUCAUGAUUUCUUUUUAGUACUAAGCCUCGACAUUUUUACACGCUCAGUCCCAGAAAAAUAGGCGCAAUCGGCAAAUCUAAGAUAACUAGGCCACACAGAGCCUACCCUGCAUUUUCGUCCUAGAUUCAUUGCUGGUAGGGCCCACUACGAGUCUCACAUAACAACUUCAACUGUUCGGACUUACAGGUUCGAAGGUGGCGUACUCCUGGUUUACGCCAUCGACGUCAACCCNNNNNNNNNNNNNNNNNNNNNNNNNNNNNNNNNNNNNNNNNNNNNNNNNNNNNNNNNNNNNNNNNNNNNNNNNNNNNNNNNNNNNNNNNNNNNNNNNNNNNNNNNNNNNNNNNNNNNNNNNNNNNNNNNNNNNNNNNNNNNNNNNNNNNNNNNNNNNNNNNNNNNNNNNNNNNNNCCCCCCCCCCUAGCAUGUUUGUUUUCUGUUAAUUUAAAUCCAAUAAACUUGGCCGAACUUUGACUGACUCUAGCAUGCUCAUUUUAGGUCCAAAUGAAUUGAUUCUUUUUGAAAAUGGUUUCUAUUUGAAUUCUUCACCCAUUGAUAUGUCUGUUGUAUUUUUGUAGCAAGUAUAUUUUUGUUCUGUCUAUUUUAAGCUUUAUGCUUAUUAAAGAAAACUCAUUACAAUUAUUUUUAGAGGGCUUUGAACUUGGUAGGCAUGGCUACCUCUACAACCCCUCUCGUGAAGGCAAGCUUUCCAACUUAUGCUUGCAAGGCCAUGUGAUGGUCAUUUCAUUUUGAUAUGGACUUUCGUUCAAAUAAAAAUGCCUUCAAAUGGUUUAAUUGAAAAAACUUAAAUAAAAAAGGGUUGAAGCUUGCAGCACAGGGUUAUACUUCUGAAAUAAAAGUUUUGGAGAAACUGCUAUGAUAAAACAGAAGUGUUUCAUACGAUGGCUUGAUAUGAAGUACUGUGGGCAUAUGGAUGCUUUUGAAAUAUGAUGGAUUUGAUGCAUUUACUUUGGUGAGUGAAGCAUGAUCCAUGGAUGAGACUUCUGAUUUGAUCUAUGAAAAUAUGGUGUUGGUAACUUCUGUUAGGAAUGGUUAUGACAUUAACCCUAAUAAAAAUACAUUGGCUUGAUCGAGUCCAAAGUGCCACUAAACCAACUUAAUAUAGUGGGACUCAUAGGAGCACGUCUCCUACCAGGGCAUUGGCAUAGGUUAUAGGGGUGANNNNNNNNNNNNNNNNNNNNNNNNNNNNNNNNNNNNNNNNNNNNNNNNNNNNNNNNNNNNNNNNNNNNNNNNNNNNNNNNNNNNNNNNNNNNNNNNNNNNNNNNNNNNNNNNNNNNNNNNNNNNNNNNNNNNNNNNNNNNNNNNNNNNNNNNNNNNNNNNNNNNNNNNNUAGGUUAUAGGGGUGAGAGGCUCGCUGGCGAGGUUGGGGGCGCGGGCGACGGUGCUGCGGCGCCGUGGUCACGCAAGGAAUAUGGCCGCGUGGCGGCUAGGGUUAGGGUCUCGGCAGAAGCCGAGCAAUAAUGAUUGCUACUUCUUAAUCUACGAAACGGUUCUUUACAUGAGUUUAUAUAAUCUCCUAGCUUCUAAUAAAAAUACGAUAAGUGGGCCAAGCCCCUAACUGCUAUUGGGCCUAACUGUACGUAGAUCGCCGGCAGUUGUAAUGCGCGGCGGUCAUAACAUGUAACAGCCCAAGACCGACGCUCCAGAAGAUUCCCCUUUUAUUUGUUGCCGUUGUGUGAUUAGAUUGUUUGUCGCACUCAUCAUCGCAUCAUUCGCAUCAUCCGCAUUGCUGCGGCAUUCAGUUGCUGUUAGUUUUCAAACUUGCAUCCGUUAGUAGUUGCCGGUUCUUUCCGUUUUCGUCGCUGGCCGUUUUGAGACCAUCAACACACGCACGCGCCUGCUACAUCAUUAAUAUAGUUGUUUUAAAAAGUGUACAUAAAACUUUUCCAGAUUGGGUUGAAACUUGGCAUGCGGUCUUAUUGUAGUGUAGGUAGGUCGUCUGCCAAAUUUCGUCGCAAUCGGAGUUCGUCUGAUACACCAACCGUUAAAACUAUAGCGGCACUAUAGAUGGCCAUUUCAUCGGACGUUUUUGGUUUAUAAAAAUAUGUUGCCGGGUUGCCUGAUUUCCCUCUCAUCUCCGCCUAGCCCCUGUGCACAGUGCACCGACCUGCCCGCAACCUAGUCUGGAACGUUCCUCGGACCCGAACUGGGCGGUCGUGACCGUUGGAUCCGGAUCAACCCCGUUUUACCGCAAACCGUCAUCAGCUUUUGAAUAGGACCACCUAGCCUAUUUUCCGCGACCGUUUGAUUGAAACGGAGGGCCACUAGACCCCGUGUAGAAAAUAGUGUCUAUUUAUAUAUGAAUGUAGCCUAAUCCUACCCUAACCCUAGCUAACCAAUUCCCUCCAAAUAGCGCCGCCGCCCCGACCUAGUUUUCCCCCAUCGAGCCACCAACAGCCGUCUCCUCCUUCCUCAUGUCCGAUCCAGCCAGCCAACCGCAACCCGUAGCAGCAACCCAAGGAGCAGUGUGUUCAUAGCCCACGAGCUCCUCCCAAGCGGGAGAGCUCGCGUCCAAGGAACGAGCAGCAGCUCGCCCUUGCCACCUGCACCUGUGCAGGAGCACGCCGUCGACCUCCCAGCGCCUCCGCCGGAGGACUGCCUCGUUCCUUCGGAGCUGCACCCCGCCACUCCAGCACCGGCGUCGUCGCCUCGAGCCGCCGCAGGGGUGUGUCCCACCGCCAUCUGCGCCCCAACCAACAGCAGCCCUUGAUUCCAUCCCGUCCAACUCGACCCUCCAGGCCGGCCCUGCCUCCGAGCUCCUCCCAUGGCGUGGUUGCGGUUCCCUCCGCUCAGUCGGAGCGCGUCAAAGCCAGCAGAUGCCCACCAGGUCGACCUCGCCCCAAGGAGCUUCCGGUGCUACAAGAGCAACAAGUUCCACCGCCCACGACUAGAUCCGCUGGUGUGCUCGCGGAUCCGACCGCCCCAGUAUCGCCAUGGCGCCGACCCCUUCGUUUCCGCUGUGAGCAAAUUCGUCCAUAGCUGAAACUCUGUUUCCGUUUCAAGUUUCGUCAGUUCACACCUUGUAUGGGUUAUGAAGUGCUAAGAUGCUUCUCUAAUCGACGUUCUAGUGUAGCGUACUGGUCAUUCAUGCAUGCAUCUGCGAGGUUUUGUGUCCGAGUCCCCCAUGCACCAACUUUGCUUGGUUUCUAUUUGUUUUUCUUUGCACCCACGCUCACGCUACACAAUAGAGAACCUGCUCCUUUGCAUCAUAGAUAGAGCUAGCUCAGUGGCUUAGCGUUGGCCUUUCAGACCAGGUGAUCUGGGGUUUGAAUCCCAGACACACCCGUUUUUAUCUUUAUUUUAUUUUGUUCUUCGAUGCCCCUGUUUGUUGUAGGUUUAGAUCCGUUUAACUAGAUGGAGUAUCCUCUGUACCCCUUUUGCAUCACAAGCAGCUACUCAUUCCAGUUGGUUGUCCUAGUGAGCCAACAUCCUGGGGGUCCAGGGAUCAAAUCCCCACGGCCUCUCUUUUAUUUUCAUCCUGUGUAUUUAUUUUUUUAUUUUACAUGCACAUUGCAUCCUUGUCAUAUGAUCUUGUGUGGCCUGUAUCUCUUAGGUUGUAGCUCCAUUGGAGAUGAGCUAUAUGUGUAUACCGACUAGGUUGACGUGUAGAAUCACAUGCUUCACCUCUUGCAUGUUAACAACAUUUUAAUAUUGUCGUAUACCUAAACAAGAGCGAACUAAAUAAUUCGUAUGUGGAGUUUCGUCAAUACGCAACUCAUUGCAUAUUGAGCUUCACUUAAUGUGUAGUGUUUGAUUGUUGUGAACUGCCAUGCCAUGCCUUGCAUAAUUGAAAUGAACAUGCAUCAUAUUAGGUUGUACAUCAUGACAUGCAUAUGUGUGGUGAAUAUCGUGUGUUAAUUCUUGUUUUCGGUUUGCUUCUUCUCAAUAGAGCUCCAAACCGCUUCGGAAUGUGAGGAUCCAUUCGACUACGACGGUUCGUUCGCUUCACGGUUUUGUUCUUCUUCCAAGCUGGAUCACAGGCAAGAUGAUCAUUUUCCUAGAUACCAUUACUAUCAUUGCCAUGCUAGUUGUUUCGUUUCUAUCGCUAUGUCUCGAUGCUACCACAUGUUUAAUAAGCCUCCCAACAUUGCCAUGAACAACUUCAACAUUUCUACAACCUAGCAAACCACUGGUUGGCUAUGUUACCGCUUGCUUAACCAUGUGUUAGCGUUGCUAGUUGCAGGUGCAGUUGCUUCCAUGAGAUAACAUGGGUUCUUUGUUAUAUCAGCAUGUAAUUGUUAAUUAAUUUCAUGCACCUAUAUACUUGGUAAAAUGUGGAAGGCUCGACCUUUCUAGCCUGGUGUUUUGUUCCACCUUUGUCGCCUUAGUUUCGGCUACCGAUGUUAUAUUCCAUAAUUGAGCGCUCCUAACACGCUCGGGGUUGUUAUGGGAACCUCCUUGAUAUUUCGUUUUAGUUCAAGACUGGUUUGGCAAGGCCCAACUUUUGUACUAUUUUCCUAAUAACUAAUGAACCACAUAGGGAAUAAUUAACCUGAGCAAACUUAAUCAACCCCCAGACCAGUGCUCCUCAUGAGUGUUGGUCCAAAAAGGGAAGACUGUGGGGCCACCACGAGGCAACUCGAGGUUUGGUUUUACUCGUAGUGUGACCCAUCCGGUCGUGUCCUGAGAAUGAGAUACGCGGCUCCUAUCGGGUUCGUCGACAGGUCGAGCGGCCUUGCUGGAUUAGUUUUACUUUUGACGAAAUAUCUUGUGCAUCGGGAUUCCGGUGAUGCUUUGGGCUAUCUCAGAGAUGAGGUUUUCCACUAAGGAAUCCGAGGAGAUCACGAGUUUCAUGAUCGAGGCUUUCUAUGCGGCUUGUGAUAAUUUGUGAUGGACUAGUUGGAGCACCCCUAUAGGGUUAAAUCUUUCGGAAAGUCGUGCCUGCAGUUAUGUGGCAAAUGUGAAAACUUUGUUUAACAUCCGGUUCUAGACGACGUGAAGUAAACUUAAUUAAAAACAUAUUAACUGAGUGCGUAACCGUGACUGUCUCUUUCCUGAGCUCCUUCUCUGAUCGAGGACAUGGUGGGGUUAUGUCUAACGUAAGUAGGUGUUCAGGAUCAUUCAUUUGACCAUCAGUAGUUCACGUCCACUGUGCAUAGAUCAUCCCCCUCUUUCAAUCUCGUACUCGUAAGUUAGCCACCUCAAAUAAAUGCUUAGUCGCUUGUUGCGGCCUCACCACUUAACCAUACCUUACCCAUUAAGCUUUGCUAGUCUUGAUACCUUUGAAAAUAAGAUUGAUGAGUCCCUGUGGCUCACGGAUUACUACAACACCAGUUGCAAGUAAAGGUAAAGUGAUAUCAUGACGUGAGCGUGAUGAUUGUGCGAUUGGAGUUUCUUCUUCUUCUUCUUCGAUCUAGGAUGGGUUCCAGGCCGGCAGCCUGGGAUAGCAAGGAUGGACGUCGUUAUUUUAUCGUUUGUUUUCGUCCAAAGUCGAACACUGCUCUUCUUCAUGAUGAUUGAUUAUGUUGUUGUACUGAUGUGAACUUGAUGUAGCUUGUGGCGAGUGUAAGCCAAUUUCAUAUACUCAUCUCUCAAUACAUGUACUUGUAACGAUAUCCAUUCUUGCGAAAAGACGAGAUGCGCUUCUAUCCCUGUCGAGACCCUCAUGCCAAAAUAAGGAUAGGAUCGCAUCUUGGGCGUUACAUAACAUCUCUCCCCGUCUGCGCAAACAGCUCGUCCUCGAGCUGGAAGUCUGGAAAAUGUUGUCGAAACUCCUCAAGCUGCUCCCAAGUGGCGUCCUCCUCCGGAAGGCCUUGACAUUGUAUCAAAAGGCGCCAAACACCGCGGCUCAGCUGGGCCCUCAACACCUUCUCGGGACCCGGAAGGAGACGGUCGUCGGCGGCUGGUGGAAGAGCCGGCGAGGUCGUUGGCGGGUCACCACGGAAAGGUUUCAACAACCCCACAUGGAAGACGUCAUGAAUGUGGGCGCCCGACGGCAACUGGAGGCGGUAGGCGACGUUGCCGAUGCGCUUCAACACCGGAAACGACCCGGUGUAACACGGCCCGAGCUUGUGUCCAGUGACUGCGUGGUGCGAUGGAGAAGCUGCGGCCACACCCAAUCACCCACCGCAAACUCCGCCUCGCGGUGAUGGACGUCGUAGUAUUUCUUGGACAGCUGCUGGGCUUGGAGAAGACGGUGGCGCACCUCGCCAAGGAUCUCAUCCCUGCUACACAGAAGCUCCCCUGCCGCCACGGUCUGAGCCGCCCCGUUUGGAACAGAAGAAUGGGAGGUGGAGAACGGCCGUAGACCACCUCGAACGGAGUGGCAUGCAAGGCGGAGUGGUAGGACAUGUUGUAGCAGUACUCCGCCCAAGCGAGCCAGUCCACACAGGCGCGUGGGCGAUCACCUGUAACAUGGCAUAAGCACAUAUCAAUCACCUUGUUAACCACCUCCGAUUGGCCGCGGCCUCCGGAAGGAACGUCGUGCUCAGCCGCAACUUGACGCCCGCCAUCCGGAAAAGAUCACGCCAGACAUGGCCGGUAAACAACGGGUCGCAGUCGCUAACGAUCGACGAGGGAAACCCGUGGAGACGGACUAUGCCAUCCAAGAAGGCGCGCGCGACGGUGCUGGCGGUGUAGGGGUGUCCGAGCUCGAUGAAGUGGGCGUACUUAGAGAAGCGGUCCACCGCCGUGAGAAUGACGGACUUCCCACCCACCUUGGGAAGACCCUGGAUGAAAUCCAUGGGGAUGUUGUUGGAAAUGUGCCAUAGAGGCAAUAAUAAAAUGGUAUUAUUAUAUUUCCAGUUCAUGAUAAUUGUCUAUUAUUCAUGCUAUAAGUGUAUUAACCGGAAACCGUAAUACAUGUGUGAAUACAUAGAUCACAAUGUGUCCCUAGUGAGCCUCUAGUUGCCUAGCUCGUUGAUCAAUGGAUGAUCAUAGUUUCCUGAUCAUGGACAUUGGAUGUCAUUGGUAACGGGAUCACAUCAUUAAGAGAAUGAUGUGAUGGACAAGACCCAAUCCUAAGCAUAGCAUUAGAUCGCGUUGUUCGUAUGCUAAAGCUUUUCUAAUGUCAAGUCCUUUUCCUUAGACCGUGAGAUUGUGCAACUCCCGGAUACCGUAGGAGUGCUUUGGGUGUAUCAAACGUCACAACGUAACUGGGUGACCAUAAAGGUGCACUACGGGUAUCUCCGAAAGUGUUUGUUGGGUUGGUACGAAUCAAGACCGGGAUUUGUCACUCCGCGUGAUGGAGAGGUAUCUCUGGGCCCACUCGGUAGAACAUCAUCAUAAUGAGCUCAGUGUGACUAAGGAGUUAGCCACGGGAUGAUGUGCUACGGAGCAAGUAAAGAGACUUGCCGGUAACGAGAUUGAACAAGGUAUAGGGAUACCACCGAUCGAAUCUCGGGCAAGUAUCAUACCGAUAGACAAAGGGAAUUGCAUACGGGAUUGAUUGAAUCCUUGACAUCGUGGUUCAUCCGACGAGAUCAUCGUGGAACAUGUGGGAACCAACAUGGAUAUCCAGACCUCGCUGCUGGUUAUUGACCGGAGAGGUGUCUCGGUCAUGUCUGCAUGCUUCCCGAACCCGUAGGGUCUACACACUUAAGGUUCGAUGAUGCUCGAAUUAUAUGAGAAUAGUUUACGAGGUUACCGAAGGUUGUUCAGAGUCUCGGAUGAGAUCUCGGACGUCAUGAGGAGCUCCGGAAUGGUCCAGAGGUGAAGAUUGAUAUAUAUGAUGAGGGGUUUUGGACACCGGAAAUGUUUUGGGCGUCACUGGUAACGUACCGGGACCACCGGAAGGGUUCCGCGGGUCCACCGGGAGGGGCCACCAGCCCCAAAGGGUGACAUGGGCCAAAAGGUGGAAGGGAGCCAGCCCAGAGUGGGCUGGUGCGCCUCCCAUCAAGUCCCAAGGCGCGGGUAGAGAGGGAAGGGGGGAAACCUAAAGCAGAUGGGCCCAAGGCCCAUCUUGGGUGCGCCACACCCCCUCCUCCCUUCCUAGCCGCCACCACCAGCCCUAGAUUGGGCUGCCGCACCCCUUGGGGGUGGCAAUCCUAAGGGGGGUGAUGACCCACAAGUAUAGGGGACCAAUCGUAGUCCUUUCGAUAAGUAAGAGUGUCGAACCCAACGAGGAGCAGAAGGCUGUGAUAAACGGAUUUCAGCAAGGUAAUAANNNNNNNNNNNNNNNNNNNNNNNNNNNNNNNNNNNNNNNNNNNNNNNNNNNNNNNNNNNNNNNNNNNNNNNNNNNNNNNNNNNNNNNNNNNNNNNNNNNNGAAUUCUUUCAAGCUGUUUCAGUAUGCCUGGUGGGAUAUCCAAACUGCAUAGAAAGAAAAUAGGAACAGAGGACAGUGCUGAGUUUAAAUACUGUAACCUUCCCCCUGGGCCAGGAAAGAUGAACUAGCACUUAGUCUUCUCUCCAUGUUGUCCACCAGUGGCAUGAGAUCAAUAAUUCUUGGUUUAGUUGUCCCAACUGGAAGCCUAAGGUAUGUGAAGGGUAAUGAUCCUACUUUACAGCCAAUGGAGUCAACAAGGUCUUGGAGAUGCUCUGGAGAAAUGUUGAUAGGCAGAAGGGCAGAUUUAUGAUAAUUCACUUGUAGUCCAGUGGAUUGGGAGAAGAGCAAGAGAUUUUUCUUGAACUGCAACAGUUGAGCUUCAUCAGCAGGGAGGAUGAUAAGGGUAUCAUCAGCACAUUGGACUAUAGGAAAAUCCUUAUCAUGGCAAGGGAUGGGCAGCUGAAUCAGUCCAUCCACCAACAGCUUGUUGACCAAGGUCUGCAAAAAAUCUGCAGCAAUUGCAAAAAGCACUGGGGACAUGGGAUCUCCCUGCCUGACCCCUUUCUUACACAUGAAUUUCCUUCCAGGCACACCAUUGACCAAGACAGAGGAAGAGCCAGAAGUUAGGAGUUGUUGUACCCAAAGUAUCCAUUUAUCAUUGAAUCCUUUGUGUUUGAGAAUCUGAAAGAUAAACUCAUGUUCCACAGAAUCAAAAGCCUUUUCAAAGUCCAGCUUGAGAAUAACUAUAGGUUUUUUGGAUUGAUGACAUUGAUGCAGGUAUUCCAGAGUCCAGCCAACACAAUCUUGUAUGGUUCUAGACUUGAUGAAGCCAUACUGAUUCUUGUGAAUACACUUCAUGAUCUGCAACUGCAAUCUGUUGGCUAUCAUUUUAGACAGAAACUUAAGGCCCAUCCCAUAGGUCUGUAGUCUCCCACUUGCUCAGGUGAUCUCUUUUUGGGAAUCAGAGUAAUAUAAGAAGAAUUCAUGUUCUCCAGUUUAGCAGUAUUAGCAUGAAAGGCAGCAGCAAGUUGAUAAAACUCGGGACAAAUAAUAGACCAACAUUUCUUAAAGAAAAGGCCAUUGAAGCCAUCAGGUCCAGGAGCUUUGUCAAUCGGCAUUUCCUGAACAGUUUUAUCCAUUUCAGACUUAGAGAAAGGCUGUAUGAGGACAUCAAGACCAUCCACCUUCUGGAUCAUAGAUUGUAGAUCAAAGGCCAUGUUAAUUCCUAGGGAAGUUCCCAUUCUAUCCUUAAAGGUUGCCCAAAAACAUGCAGCAAUUUGGUCAUGGUCAGAUAUGAUGGAUCCAUCAUUUAACUUGAGAGAGGCAAUGGAGUUCCUCCUAUAUCUCUCAGUUGCCAUAGCAUGGAAAAAUUUGGUGUUUUCUUCACCAACUUUGACAAAUCUGAUAGUGGCUCUCUUUUUCCAGUACAGGAACUGAAGAUGCAAGAGGUGCUCCAGGUGCAACUUAAUAAUGCUCCUGAAGUUAGCUUCAGGUCUGAAAAGGGGCCUUAAUUCCUCAAGUUCAUCCAAACAUAACACAGCUUGAUUGCAUCGAGAGAUGAAGAUCUUCAGCUGGGAUAAAUUUGUCUGCCAUCUCUUCAGAGCCUGCCUGAGAUGUUUCAUCUUAUCCAUAAUGACAACAGUAAUAUGAGCCUUCUUAGGAGGAAUGACCCAGGACUUUUGGACAUAGUCUAUGAAGCCCUCCAUUUCAACCCAGUAGUUUUCAACACGAAAGAGGUUGCACUUAGGGAUGGAAGUGUUGACAAUGACCACACAUGGAACAUGAUCAGAAGCUGUUUUUGCAAGGGGGAGCACUUGUGUAAGAGGGUAUGAAGAGAUCCAGUUGGCAGAUGUGAAGAACCAGUCAAGUUGCUCAAGAAGGGUGGAAUCUUGCAUAUUGGACCAAGUGAAUGAUCUACCCUUAAUGGGUAGUUCCAGUAAACCCAGAUGACCAAUGAUUUCAUUGAAGAUGAACAUAUCAUUUACAUCAGCCCCAGGGAGGUUUCUGUUAUCAGGUGAUCUAAUGAAAUUAAAGUCUCCAAGAAGCAACCAGUUAGCAUCAGCAGGUAUAUGAAGAUUAUACAACCAGCUAACAAAGAGAUCUCUAGCUUCACCCUGACAAGGACCAUAGACAUUCACUAAAGUCCAGGAUUCUCGAGUAUGAUUUGAUGUGAAUGAGAUGAUUAAUCCAAAAGGUGUGCAUUCCACUAACAGACCAGUAAGAAUGGAUGAGUUCCAGAGUGUUAUAAGACCCCCAGAUGCUCCCCGGGAAGGGGAGCAAGCAAAUUGAUCAAAACGUUUAGGACAGAAACACUCGACUGUCCGGAAAUCAAUGGACUGCAUUUUGCUUUCCUGCAAGCACACUACAGCAGUCAGGCUCUCAUCAAUGUUGUUACGAACCGCGCAUUGCCUAUGAUCAGAAUUUAGGCCACGCACAUUCCAACACAGAACACGCCAACUUCUCGUAGAACGACUAUCCAUUGGAAGAUAUAUAUAAAGCAAAAGCAGGGAUAUGUAAUAGCCCUUGCAACCGAGGUUCAGUUAACCAUAAAACAGAGCAAAUAGUAGUCUGACGAAACAUGGAGCCAGUACAGCAACAAUUUAACAUAAAUAGACUAAACAUCUGCAGAUGUUGGCUUGGAAUCAGCUGGAUCUUCCAUAAUACGAUCCACGGUCAGCUUCUCAGGGGCGAUGCCAAGCUGUUGACUGACAGCCUGAAUCACCGGGAUAGGAGUGGCAGGGGGAAUCUGUUCCUGAGGAUCAGCAGACACCUGCGCUGGAGAAGGCAUGGGAUUGGCUUUGGGCUUCCGCUUCUUAGGGACAUGAGCUGGCAGCUCCUGCAACACAGGUUUGAAAUCAUCCCGCUUGAUGGAGCCUCGCGUGCAUCGUCGAACAGAGGAGUCGACAACAGGCGUGGACUUCUUACGGGCCCCUUUCUUCGUCACAGUAGGUGAUUGGAAGGAGAAUGAGUCCUCGACAGAUGAAGAGGAGCUGACGGGGAUUACCUCUGCCGAAGAAAGCGGAGUGCAUGCUGGCUUUGUUGGCGGCAGCUCUGGGUCAGAGCUAUCAAAGGCCACCGUCCAAGACCGCUUGGGGAUCAUAAUGGGCGUCGCCAUUGGCAUCUGCAGCUGGUGAGGGACAUGCAUGGUGCUGGCUGCUCCCAUGAGAGCUUCAAAGGAUCGGGACCAGGAGAGUACCGAUGGUAGAGGAGGCCCAUAAAAAACCCUGACCGCCCCAACAAAAAGAUUCUCAGACUGAACCUGCGGGGGCUUGUAUGGGACGAUCGCCAGUGGAUUGUUGUUCGGCGCCUCAUCCUCCACCUACACUUCUUCUUCCAGCUCAGCACUGUGAGCAGCAGCUGCCUCCUCAGCAUCAGAGGCGGCAGGGUCAGCGGCCACCAUCGCAUCCAUAUUGGGAGCAGGAUUAGCGGUGGCCUCCUCGAAGUCACCCUGGGUUUGUGGGUCUAAGUCCACAAGCUCAUGAACCGAGUCCGAAGAAGAAGGACUGGGCUGAUCAAUCACCAUGGACUCCUGGUCUUGUGCAGGAGCAGCAGGUUGCGCUUCUAGGGCCGCCUCGGGCUCCCAUCCUCCUCCAUCAACACCAGCAGCCGGUUGCCCCCAACCCCCUCCAUCAGCAGCAAUAGGUACUAUUGGUUCGGGUUCGGGGGGUGGCACUGCAUUCUAGCCCAAAGCAGGGUACGGGGCAGGGCAAACACGAGAUUGUCAUUGACAAGGUGGCCGGGAAGCGGAUGGGGGUUGCCAUUGAGGGGCAUAGCAUCCUCAUUGUUGGGCAGCAUCUCAGCAGGCGCCGCCCCCAGGAUGUAGACGGGUGCAGACCAGGACACCUUCGCACCACCCCAAGCAGCAUAUUCUGAGAAGUUGAUACUGCGAGGUACUAGUCGAUCAUCGGGAAAAGAUGCAAACACGAUGGAGCGAACCAAGUAGGGAUCAUCGCUGACCCAAUGAUGGAACUCUCCGAAAGUGUUGACUGCAGCCCGGAGGUAUUCGGUAUUGCGGAAAUCCAGAAGGACUCCCAGGAGCAUCAGACACCCGUGUCGAAAACCCUCUUGGCCUCUGAAGCCAACUCCUUCAUUGUGACGCAUGAAGCGAACCACACUGUUGUGAGUCAGUGCCUGUGGAACAAUCUAUACCGCAGCAAAGCUUUCUGCCGCAUCUCAAAGUUCAAAUAGCCCCACGCCCUCGAUCCAUGGUUGGGUUGAUCGAACAUGAAGCCCCCUAUGAUGAAGAAGAGCGACCACUUCUUGCCGUACCUGGACCAUGAUAUCUGUCGGGGGUGCAGGGAGCACCUCAACAAUGAUGUACUGCUCAUGACGCCUGGUGAUGAGGACAGCAGGCGUGGUGUAGGUCCGAGGUAGCCGGUCAGGACCGGCGUCGAUGAUGUUGUGGCCCGGCGGGAGGAAGCGCUCCGUAUCAAGCUCAAAGUUCGCCAUUGUGGGAGGAGGCGGCGGCGUGGUAGGCGGUGUUUCGGAGGGAGUUCGAGGAUGUGACGGCGAUGAGACAGGGAGGAACUGUGCUGCAUGCGUUGCGGUUUCUCCAAGAGUAUCGGUAGUUCCCGAGAUAUCAGCGACAGGGGAGGUGUUGGUUCUCUUGCAGUUCCAAGUAAGACAAUUAUUACGCAUAAAGGAGGCGCAUCUAGAUCGUGUGUGGCCCACGUCUCUGUCAGCGUAUCCAGGCGAAGCCGUGCAGUUGGCAACUAGAUGUCCCCGAGAGUUGCAAAUAGAGCAAGAGAAGAUCUCUUCAACCAUGCCAUUAAUAAGCUCAUCAAAGGCCAGAUGGGCUUCCUGCGAGGAGGGAAUAUCCAUCCUAGUAUUGGACUCGGGCCUAGGUGAGGAAGUAACCUCGGAAGGCUCAUUAAUGAGCAUAGAAGUCGGCCCUGAAUCCAAACUUUCCACCGAAUAUUGAUUCUCAGAAUUCAAAACCCCAUGAAUCUCGGCAGGAUCAGCUGCAGCUCCAUCAUGCAAGGAAGAAUUUCCGUUACACUUGGUAAUUCGAAAAUCAGGCCCGGGAGAUCCGGUGGGUGACUCCUGUCGAGAAACGGUACCAAACGUAAUAUGCGGUGUGGCCGUCGUCCACCGGAGUUCAGCCGGCGGUGGCACAGAGAUGAUGACACGUUUGGGAGAAGGCACUGCAUAACCGGCCUGUUCAAGCGUGAGAAGCUUGUCAUGAGAAACCGGACAUCUAUAACCCUUGCAAACCUCAUAUUGUUGGAGGGAUGCGAAUGUGAGCUUCUUACGAACAGAUGAUCCAGAUUUAAGAGAGGAUUUUAGAGGUCUGGAAUGCAUUGCCAUCAGACCUAGUGUGGCUCUCCUCUUGGAUGGACUCACAAUAAUCCAUUCAGCAUCACAUUGUUUCUUCCAAAUAGAAAAAUCCCUACGCCAAUUAGGACCACCAUUACCCCAUAGAUGGAAGAAGCACUUAUAUGAACAUAAAUCCAGAAUAUGAAAGCCAACUUGCAUGUAGGACACUUUGAAAGAGAAAACCGAGUCUGUAAUUUGACAGACGCGAAACUCAAUGGCAGAGCCCCCAAUCGCAGAUUCCAGCGUUGCAGCGACAGUAUCCUCAGAGAGAGGGAAAACAUGACGACCAAAGGAAACCACCAUGAUGAAAAGGCGGCGGUGCUUCAUAGGAUGCACCGGAACACGAGAAUGACGAUUAACCUCAUCGGCGAAGGCCAAACCAUCAGAAAAGUCCAGAUCCAACGUGGAACCACCCAUAGCCAUGCACGACCAUGUGAGGGGGUCGGGAGGGUUCACCUGAGCAGAUGAGCGGCGAGAAAGGAGUAAACGCCGGCUAGAACACCAGAUCGCCAUGGAGUCGCCGAGGUGGGAGGUGGGAGGUGGGAGUCGCCAUCUGAUACGUCCAUUUUGCAUCAUGCUUUCAUGUUGAUAUUUAUUGCUUUUUGGGCUGUUAUAUUACUUGUGGUACCAUAUUUAUGCCUUUUCUCUCUUAUUUUGCAAGGUUUAUUUGAAGAGGGAGAAUUCAGGCAGCUGGAAUUUUGGAUUGGAAAAGGAGCAAAUCCUAGUCCACUAUUCUGCACAUCUCCAAAUGCCCUGAAAAUUUACGUGGAUUUUUUCUGGAAUAUAUUAAAAAUACUGGGCGAAAGAACUACCGGAGGGGGGGCCACCAGGGCCCCACAAGCUUGCCCACCGCCACCACCCCCCUGGGCAUCAUAAGUGGGAUGCUUGUCCAAGUAAGAGCAGUACCCAAGCGCGGCCCACCCACAUAUCAAACUAUCAAAGUAACGAACACGAAUCAUAUGAACAUGAUGAAACUAGCAUGACAAAAAUUCCCGUGUGUCCUCGGGAGCGUUUUUCCUCCUAUAAGACUUUGUUCAGGCUUGUCCCUUGCUACAAAAGGGAUUGGGCCACUUGCUGCACCGUUGCUACUACUUGUUACUUAUUACUUUUUGCUCACUGCGUUUCACCUCUCUACACAAUCACUUGUUACCGCUACUUUUAGUGCUUGCAGUUAUUACCUUGCUGNNNNNNNNNNNNNNNNNNNNNNNNNNNNNNNNNNNNNNNNNNNNNNNNNNNNNNNNNNNNNNNNNNNNNNNNNNNNNNNNNNNNNNNNNNNNNNNNNNNNNNNNNNNNNNNNNNNNNNNNNNNNNNNNNNNNNNNNNNNNNNNNNNNNNNNNNNNNNNNNNNNNNNNNNNNNNNNNNNNNNNNNNNNNNNNNNNNNNNNNNNNNNNNNNNNNNNNNNNNNNNNNNNNNNGAAAGGACUACGAUUGAUCCCCUAUACUUGUGGGUCAUCAAGACUCUUUUCUGGCGCUGUUGCCGGGGAGUGAAGCGCCUUUGGUAAGUGGAAAUUGGUAAGGAAACAUUUAUAUAUUGUGCUGAAAUUUAUUUUCACUUGUCACUAUGGAAACUCUUCCUUUGAGGAGUUUGUUCGGGGUAUCUUCACCACGAACGGAAGCACGAGGAGUUGCUCCUCAACCUGAGGUACCUACUGAAAAUAUAUUUUAUGAAAUUCCUUUGGGUAUGCUUGAGAAACUGCUGGCUAAUCCUUUUACAGGAGAUGGAUCUUCACAUCCAGACUUUCAUCUAAUCUAUGUAGAUGAAGUUUGUGGUUUAUUUAAGCUUGCAGGUUUGCCCGAGGAUGAGGUAAAGAAGAAAGUCGUUCCUUUAUCUUUGAAGGAUAAGGCAUUGACAUGGUAUAGGUUAUGUGAUGAUGCUGGAUCAUGGGGCUACAAUCGGUUGAAAUUGGAAUUUCAUCAAAAGUUCUAUCCUAUGCAUUUAGUACAUCGUGAUCGGAACUUUAUUUAUAACUUUUGGCCUCGUGACAGGGAAAGCAUAGCUCAAGCUUGGGGGAGGCUUAAAUCAAUGCUAUAUUCAUGCCCCAAUCAUGAGCUCUCGAGAGAAAUCAUCACUCAAAACUUUUAUGCUCGGCUUUCUCAUGAAGAUCAUACCAUGCUUGACACUUCUUGUGCCGGUUCUUUUAUGAAGAAGGAUAUUGAUCACAAGUGGAAUUUAUUGGAGAGAAUCAAACGCAACUCUGAAGAUUGGGAGCUGGAGGAAGGUAAGGAGUUAGGUAUGAAUUUCCAGUUUGAUUGCGUUAAAUCUUUUGUUGAGACAAACACUUCAAGAGAUUUUAGCGCUAAGUAUGGACUUGACCCUAAGAUAGUAGCUUCUCUAUGUGAAUAUUUUGCUGCUCAUGUUGAUCUUCCCAAAGAGAAGUGGUUUAAAUAUCAUCCUCCUGUAGAAAGCAACAUAGCCAAAACCAAUCUAGUUGAGGAGAAAAUCAUAGCUUUUAGUGAUCCUGUUGUUCCUUGAGAAACCACCAUACCCUUCUAGGAUAAAUGAUUAUUCUAAAGCUCCAACUGUGAUAUGUAGGGGUUACAUUAGACCACUUGCACCCCCUAAGGAAAUUAUAGUUGAACCUAGUGUUGCUAUUAUCAAAGAUCUCUUAGCCGAAGACAAUGAUGAGCAUGUUAUCAAAUUCUGUGAGGACUCCGCUAGAAUUGCUAAACCUCAUGCGAAAGACAAACACGGACCUGUAGUUGGCCUGCCCGUUGUUUGUGUUCAGAUAGGAGAUCACUGUUACCAUGGUUUAUGUGAUAUGGGAGCUAGUGUUAGUGCAAUACCCCGUUCUCUAUAUGAUGAAAUCAAAGAUGAGAUUGCACCUGUUGAGUUAGAACCCAUUGAUGUCACUAUUACGCUAGUUAAGAGACACUAUUUGCCCUCUGGGAAUUGUGAGAGACGUAGAAGUCCUGUGUGGUAAGACGAAGUAUCCUACUGAUUUCCUCGUCCUUGGUACUGCACAAGAUAGCUUUUGUCCCAUCAUAUUUGGUAGACCCUUUCUCAACAUUGCCAAUGCUCACAUUGAUUGCAUUAAGCAGACUGUCACAGUAAGUUUCGAGGGUGUAUCUCAUGAAUUAAACUUCUCCAAGUUUGGAAGACAAACCCAUGAAAGAGAGUCGUCUGGUAGAGACGAAAUCAUUGCUCUUGCCUCUAUUGCCGUACCUCCUACGGAUCCUUUAGAGCAAUAUCUGCUUGAGCNAAACCGAUCCUGACUUCAAACCAGUUGCUGAUCAUCAAAGGAGAAUAAAUCCUAAGAUGAAAGAGGUCGUUAGAAAAGAAAUAUUAAAGCUUCUGGAAGCAGGAAUCAUUUAUCCUGUUGCUCAUAGUGAUUGGGUAAGUCCAUUACAUUGCGUACCUAAGAAGGGAGGUAUCAUCGUCGUUCCUAAUGAUAAGGAUGAACUAAUCCCCCAAAGGAUUAUUACCGUCUAUAGAAUGGUGAUAGACUUCUGGAAACUGAACAAGGCAACCAGGAAAGAUCAUUAUCCUUUGUCGUUCAUCGACCCAAUGCUAGAAAGGCUAUCAAAGCACACUCACUUCUGCUUUCUAGACGGUUAUUCAGGUUACUCGUAGAUUCCUGUUGUACAAUCUGAUCAAGAGAAAACCACUUUCACCUGCCCUUUCGGUACCUUUGCCUAUAGACGUAUGCCUUUUGGCUUAUGUAAUGCACCUACCACCUUCCAAAGAUGUAUGAUGGCUAUAUUCUCUGACUUUUGUGAAAAGAUUGUCGAGGUUUUCAUGGAUUACUUCUCCGUUUACGGGUCUUCCUUUGAUGAUUGCCUCAGCAACCUUGAUCGAGUCUUACAGAGAUGCGAAGAAACCAACCUCGUCUUGAAUUGGGAGAAGUGCCACUUUAUGGUUAAUGAAGGUAUCGUCCUAGGACACAAAAUCUCUGAAAGAGGCAUUGAAGUUGAUAAGGCUAAGGUUGAUGCAAUUGAGAAAAUGCCUUGCCCCACAGAUAUCAGAGGUAUACGAAGUUUCCUAGGUCAUGCUGGUUUCUAUAGAAGGUUCAUUAAAGACUUCUCUAAGAUUUUUAGGCCUCUUACCAACCUCUUGCAGAAGGAUGUUCCUUUUGUUUUUGAUGAGGAUUGUGAGGAAGCCUUUGAAAUACUUAAGAAGGCUUUGAUAACCGCACAUAUUGUUCAACCACCUGACUGGAACUUGCCCUUUGAAAUCAUGUGUGACGCUAGUGAUUAUGCUGUUGGUGAUGUUCUAGGACAAAGAUUUGACAAGAAGUUGAAUGUCAUUCACUACGCUAGUAAAACUCUAGACAGUGCCAAAGAAACUAUGCCACUACGGAGAAGGAAUUUUUAGCAGUUGUGUUUGCAUGUGAAAAAAUCAGAUCUUACAUAGUUGACUCCAAAGUCACUAUUCACUCUGAUCAUGCUGCUAUUAAGUACCUUAUGCAGAAGAAGGACGCUAAGCCUAGGCUGAUCAGAUGGGUUCUCCUGCUAUAGGAAUUUGAUUUGCACGUCGUUGACCGAAAGGGUGUUGAUAACCCUGUAGCAGAUAACUUGUCUAGGCUAGAGAAUGUCCUUGAUGACCCACUACCUAUUGAUGACAGCUUUCCUGAUGAGCAAUUAAAUGUCAUCCACACUUCACAUAGUGCACCGUGGUAUGCCGAUUAUGCAAACUAUAUCAUAGCCAAAUACAUACCACCCAGUUUCACCUAUCAGCAAAAGAAGAAAUUCUUCUUUGAUUUGAUACACUACUUUUGGGAUGAUCCUCACCUUUAUAAGGAAGGAGUAGAUGGUGUUAUUAGACGUUGUGUGCCUGAACAUGAACAGGGACAGAUCCUGCAGAAGUGUCAUUCCGAAGCCUACGGAGGACACCAUGCUGGAGAUAGAACUGUCCAUAAGGUAUUGCAAUCAGGUUUCUAUUGGCCUGCUCUCUUCAAGGAUGCCCGUAAGUUUGUCUUGUCUUGUGAGGAAUGCCAAAGGAUAGGGAACAUCAAUAAGCGUCAAGAGAUGCCUAUGAACUAUUCACUUGUCAUUGAACCAUUUGAUGUCUGGGGCUUUGAUUAUAUGGGACCCUUCCCGAGUUCCAAUGGGUACACUCACAUCUUAGUUGCUGUGGAUUAUGUUACUAAGUGGGUAGNNNNNNNNNNNNNNNNNNNNNNNNNNNNNNNNNNNNNNNNNNNNNNNNNNNNNNNNNNNNNNNNNNNNNNNNNNNNNNNNNNNNNNNNNNNNNNNNNNNNNNNNNNNNNNNNNNNNNNNNNNNNNNNNNNNNNNNNNNNNNNNNNNNNNNNNNNNNNNNNNNNNNNNNNNNNNNNNNNNNNNNNNNNNNNNNNNNNNNNNNNNNNNNNNNNNNNNNNNNNNNNNNNNNNNNNNNNNNNNNNNNNNNNNNAGAUUUGGAGUCCCUAGAUACUUGAUGACUGAUGGUGGUUCACACUUCAUUCAUGGUGUUUUCCGCAAGAUGCUAGCUAAGUAUGAUGUCAACCAUAGAGUUGCAUCUCCUUAUCAUCCUCGGUCUAGUGGUCAAGUGGAGUUGAGUAAUAGGGAGAUCAAGUUGAUCCUACAAAAGACCGUCAAUAGAUCUCGAAAGAACUGGCCUAGCAAACUUGACGAUGCACUAUGGGCUUAUAGGACUGCUUAUAAGAAUCCCAUGGGCAUGCCACCGUAUAAAAUGGUUUACGGUAAGGCCUGUCAUCUACCUCUUGAGCUGGAACACAAAGCUUAUUGGGCAAUCAAAGAGCUCAACUUUGAUUUCAAACUUGCCGGUGAGAAGCGGUUGUUUGAUAUCAGCUCGUUAGAUGAAUGGAGAGCCCAUGCAUAUGAGAAUGCCAGGUUGUUCAAGGAAAAGGUUAAGAGAUGGCACGACAAACGAAUACAGAAACGAGAGUUCAAUGUAGGUGAUUAUGUCUUGCCAUACAAUUCUCAUUUGAGAUUCUUUGCAGGCAAGCUUCUCUCUAAAUGGGAAGCAAACGAGGCAGCCACAAGGGCCCACUCCGCCACCACCCCCCUGGUGGCGGUGGGCAAGCUUGUGGGCACCUCGUGUGCCUCUCGGACUCCGUUUUCUUGCGGAGGACUCCUUCUAGCCCAGAAAAAAUCAAUAUAUAGUCUCCCGAAGGUUUUGAUCUCCGUAUCGCGUAGUUUUCCUCUGUUUUCGUUUCGAGCUUGUUGUCUACCGCAGAUUUAGAGCAAAGAUGUCUCAGGAAUCUGUUGCGGAGAAUGAUCUUCACCAAGUUCAUGAGGCUGAUCUGAAAAGAGUAGAAGUCAUGGAAGCCAGGGACCGAGCUAAGGAGAAAACCCAAGCUAGGGAGGAAGUUCAACCUAUGUUCAACAUUGAAGACGUUGAAGGAGUAGAUUUUCUCCAACCCUUCCUCCACAUGUUGUCUCCAUCCCUGAUUGAACUCUUGAGGUUUUGCGAAACAACUCGUGCUCGCAAUAUUUCUCUUUCUCGUGAAUUUGCUUUGCUGGAAAACCAUGUCACAGAUCUCAAAGGUAUAAAUCAAAGAUUGAUAGCUCUCUUGGAAUCAAAGGCGACAACAACACCACCAUCACCACCAAAGGAAGACAACUAAACAUUGGUAUGGUCAAUCCCCUUGGUUUUUGCCAAGCUUGGGGGAGUUGCCCUGGUAUCGUAUCACCUUUAUAUCUUUUGCUUUUACCUUUGUUUUAGUUCUUUCCUUUUCAGUUUUUUUUCUUCUUUUAGAGGAAUAAGUCUUUAGUUUUUAGUUUGAGUCUUUUGCUUUUGUCUCUUCCCGGUUGUAUUCGAGCUUACGAGCUAUAUAAUAACGAGUGUCUUAGUCAAGGGCUUUGCUUUGUGCCAUGAUCAAAAGUAUGAAAAGAACGAUAGCAUGAAAGAUCAUGAGACGAUCUUAUGGAAAGUGAUAACUUCACUUAUGACACGUAUGAUGAUUGAAACUUGUUGAGAAUGAAUCAACAUAGACAUUAGUCAUUGUUGCAAUUAAUAAGAAGUAAUAAGGAAAGAGAGGUUCACAUAUAAAUAUAUCAUCUUAGACACUCUUUACAAUUGUGAGCACUCACCAAACUAUUACAUGCCUAGGAGUAGAUGUUGGACAAGGAAGACAACAUAAUGAAUUGUCUUUGCUUGGUUCCAAACAAUGUUAUAUGAUUAGAGAUACCUUAGCAUGUGACGAUUGCUUCCACCUCAUAUUAGCCAAAACUCCCGCACCAAGUAGAGAUACUACUUGUGCAUCUAUAAACCUUCAAACCAGUUUUGCCAUAAGAGUCCACCAUACCUACCUAUGGAUUGAAUAAGAUCCUUCAAGUAAGUUGUCAUCAGUGCAAGCAAUAAAAAUUGCUCUCUAAUAUGUAUGAUCUAUUAGUGUGUGGAAAAUAAGCUUUGUACGAACCUGUGAUGAGGAAGACAUAAAAGCAACAGACUACAUAUUAAAGUUCUUUGUCACAGGAGGCAAUAUAAAGUGGCGUUCCUCCGCACUAAGAGGACACGCAUUCAAACCUCAAAAGCGCAUGACAACCUCUGCUUCCCUCUGCGAAGGGCCUAUCUUGUACCUUUACUAUUUACCCUUGUAAGAGUCAUGGUGAUCAUCACCAAUUCCCUUUUUGCCUUUGUCUUGGCUACCGUAACAUGCUUGGGAAAGAUCAUGCUUUAUUGUUGUUGACUUUACCCUUGAGGUAAAUGGUUGGGAGGCAAACUAUAAGCCCCUAUCUUCCUCUGUGUCCGGCUGAAACUUUGACACCAUGAGUACCACGUGAGUUGUAAAAAUUGUGGAAAACAAAAGAGAUGAUUGAGUAUGUGGGUUUGCCUUACAAGCUCUUAUUUGACUCUUUCUCAUGUUGUGAUAAAUUGCAAUUGCUUCAAUGACUAUGGACUAUUGUUGGUUAUUUCUCGGUAAGGGUUUUGCUUCAUGCUUUGCUUUGUGAAGGAAUUGUCACUUUACCAUAAGAAUCUUUAUGAUAUAUUGAUGUCCUAUGUGUGAUCAUGAUGCCCUCAUGUCCGUAUUAUGUUUUAUCGACACCUUCGUCCCUCAACAUGUGGACAUGUUUAUGGAACUUGGUUUUCGCUUGAGGACAAGCGAGGUCUAAGCUUGGGGGAGUUGAUACGUACAUUUUGCAUCAUGCUUUCAUGUUGAUAUUAAUUGCUUUUUGGGCUGUUAUAUUACUUUUGGUACCAUAUUUAUGCCUUUUCUCUCUUAUUUUGCAAGGUUUAUUUGAAGAGGGAGAAUUCAGGCAGCUGGAAUUCUGGACUGAAAAAGGAGCAAAUCCUAGUCCACUAUUCUGCACAUCUCCAAAUUCCCUGAAAAUUUACGUGGAUUUUUUCUAGAAUAUAUUAAAAAUACUGGGCGAAAGAACUACCGGAGGGGGGCCACGAGGGCCCCACAAGCUUGUCCACCGCCACCACCCCCCCUGGUGGCGCAGGGCAGGCUUGUGGGCUGCCUAAAGGCCCACUAGCCCCCUGUUUUGCUAUACGAAGCGUCCUAGUCUAGAAAAAAUGAGUAGGGAGAUUUUUCGUGGUUUUGCCGCCGCCACGAGGCGAAACUUGAGCAGAUCCAAUCUAGAGCACCGGCAGGACGAUCCUGUCGGGGAAACUUCCCUCCCGAAGGGGGAAAUCGUCGCCAUUGUCAUCACCAACACUCCUCUCGUCGGAGGGAAGGCAUCUUCAUCAACAUCUUCAUCAACACCAUCUCCUCUCC